rnacentral:lncRNA from 1 species
GCAAGGUCUUGGCAAGAAAGAGUAUUGGAUUUAUUUCCACUGCAGUGAAUAUGUUGUGGUGACGAGGAGAUUGAGAACGGAAUGUUCCUUAUGAACCUUUCCUCUUCCAGAACAUUGCGCACUAUCUUCUUGUGCUAAGAAAAUGGAAGCCUGAACUGCAAAGUUAGGAGGUCUCUUAUGUGAAAACUGUUGUCUAGGCUAAGCUGCAGAGCGUUCCUCUGUAUCUUCUGACAUUGGAGGGAAGUCUUGACGGCUUUUUCAAGAGUGAGAAAGGCCUAAGGCAGGUCAAUCCUUUAUUGCAUAUUUUUGUUAUGGUGAUGGAGGUUUUCCCAGAACUGUUCAAUAAUUCUGCAAGUCAUGGCAAAUCAAAAUACCAUUCUCAGUGCUCUAAGGGGAAACUUGCUGACGAUUUGAUGAUAUUUUCCAAAGGGGAUAUGGAUUCUUGAAUGAAACUAUUGACUUUGUUUCAGAGACUUAAGCACACGUCAGGUCUUAGUAUUAAUCCCCUUAAGACAGAGAUAUAUAUGUAGCUGGUAUUAAGUGGCAGCUAGUGGAUGAUAUACAUCUCUUGGUGGCUUGGCCAAAUGCCAGUUAGAUACCUUGGCCUUCCCCUGAUUUUGGGAAGGUUAAGAGAUAGAGUGUAAGCCUUUGGUGGACAAGAUUACUUUUCGAGUGAGUCCUUGGACAAUUAGGCAACUCUGUUGCGCUGAAAGAUUGCAACUAGGGGUGUGCAACGGGAACCGCCCGAACCGAGAACCGGCCGGACCAGACCGAACCGGCCGGUUUUGGGCGGUUCCCAUGGUUGGCGGUCCGGUUCCCGGUUCCUAAUCUUGGAACCGGUGGCCGGUCGGUCCGGUUCCCGGUUCUAAGGUGGGAACCGGACCGAACCGGACCGAAACAAAUUUUUUUAUAUAUAAUUUAUAUACAUAGAAUUAAUAAAUUAUAUAAACAUGAUAACUUAUUGCAACUAAAAUUGUAAUUUGAGGUAGCAUCAUCUUAUGUGGCCAAGAGACCAUUAAAACUAUUUUUAUUACUCUUUUUUUAUAGAAAAAAAUCUCCUUGUUAGUUUUUGUUGGAAAUAUGAUUUGUUUUUUUAUUCUAAUUAUCUAAAUACAGUUAAUUGAUUCUAUGAAUCCAUGAUAUUGGAUAUUAGGACAAUAGUAUAGGAAACAACAUAUUUUGUAUAUUCUUUCCUAUCGUACUCUUUUCUUGUAUUAUUAAUAGGUGUGUAAUACAUGUACAAACACAGCAAUACACAAUACAGAAAAUUCCUCCAAUUCCUUCUCAGUUUUUGUCAAUUUUCUUUCUCAUUUUCUAUCAGUUUCAUCUUCUACUUGAUGUGGGACUAAGGUUCCAAGAGACCCACAAGGCACUUCAAGCCUCCAACAAUCCCACAUUGACUAAACAUUUAAAGAGCAGAGAUUGUCUAUAAAAUCUAAGCCAUGCAUAACUUUUAGCCAAAUUAUUCACGGCUUUCAUGGUUAAAGUUAAGUGUGAAACACACAAAGUGUGAAUCACAUUUGAAUAUUUUGCACAUGGAAACAUGUGUGAUUAGUUUUGUUGAAUUGCUCAAAAACCGAAUUGGAUUGAUCGGUCCGGAGCGCGGUCACUCUUUUGUGCAAAAAAGUAUAGUCGAUUUUGUUGGACCGGACCGGACCGGACCGGAACCGAUGGUCGGUCCGGUUCCCGGUCUUAGGACCAAACGGUCCGGUCCACGGUUCACAAUUUUGGGAACCGGUGCUCCCGGUCCGGUUCCCGGUUCCAAGGUGGAACCGGACCGAACCGGGAACCGAUCACCCCUAAUUGCAACUCAUUGAGGAAGUAACAGCUUGGUGAAUUUUUGGAGUCAAAUUUUUUUGUUGCCAAAAAAGUUAUCAAUAUGAUGGAAAGCAAGUGUAACCCUUUUGGAAGGGAGAAUCUGAAAACGCUCGAGGUUCAAAAGUUGCCUGGAUGAUGCAUGUCUCCCCAGGUUUAAGGGUGGUUCAGCAUUGAGGAAACUAGGGCCUUGAAAUCUUGCUUGUCUAUUGAAGAACUUAAGGAAAUUUUGUUGCAGGUUGGAUCCAUUCGGGUGGCCUGGCUUAGCCGUUUCUUGCUUAAAGGGCAGUCUAUUUGGGCAAUGAAUCCAACUGGCGAGAGCAGCUAUGCUUGGAGAAAGUCUACUUGAAGCAAUGUAAAUUAGUAUAUAAUAUAUAGUUUCAUUUAAAAUUGAUAUUUGAAAAUUUGAUGGAGAAACGCGAACUCAAUUGUAAUUUGCAUUGCAAAGCAUGGCUUACGUUGUCACUUUUCUUCUUGUCCCAUAUAAAACUCGACCUCACUUACAACGUGGUUUUGAGAAGACUUUUUGAGAUUUACUACUUGUCAUGUCUUACACACAAUGGAUGAUGAGAUUGGAAAAAUGCAAAGUCAAGAUUUUCAAAUUAUGAUAUGGGAAAUCUAUUCUUAACUUUUCAUCACCAAUAUAUGAAGAUUACCAGAAGCCCACCGGACUAGAUCUUUGCUAGAAAUGCAUUUCCUCAUAGGGUGCGAACGAUAAUAGUUUUGUUUCUCUAUUUUUCUUUUCUCGAGAAUAGGUUUGGAAUAGAAAUCCGUUUGGUGAUGUAAUUUCAUUUUUUUAUCUUCAGAACAAAUUUUGCACCUAGAAAUAGGUUUGGAAGAAAAAUGAGAAGUAUAAAUUUUCUACUUUUCUCUUUCUAGAACAAAAAUAGAAAUAAAAACUUUUAAGGUGCGUUUGGUAAUCAUUCUGUUCCGGGGAAUAAUUUUUUAACAUAAAUAGUUUUUUUUUUGUUUUUAUUUCAUGGAACAAUUUCUGAGUAUAAGAACGCGCUUGGUAAUUGCAAAAAAAUUAUAUUCCAGGAAUAGAAAUACGUUUGAUAAACUUGUAUAAUUUUGUUAUUUCUUUUUAAUUUUUUAAUAUUUUUCCUUUUUUUCUUUUUUUUUUCCUUCUUUAUUCUUUGUAACCGGUGGCCGGCGGCUGGCGACCGGCGAGGUCCGACGAGCUUGCCGAAGCUUCACCAGGCCACUGCGAGGGCCGGCGAGCUCGCCGGAGCCUCACCAGGCCACCGCGAGGCUCAGCCUCACUAGAUAUGGGCCUCGCCGGUGGCCUCAAUAAAUAGGUGAGCCUCGCCAAGCCACCGGCGAGGCUCAAGCUUGCCCAAGCGACGCGAGGUCGGCCUCGCCUUGGAGCUUGCCCAGCCAAGGCGAGGCCGAGCUCGCCCAACCACCGGCGAGGCUCGGCCUCGCCAAGCCGACGUUGGGCAACAUCGCCUGCCAGUGGCCUGGCAACUCUCUGGAGAGGUUGUCGGCCCUCUACGGCCGGUCACUGACCAUGGCCGAGGCCGGCGACCAGCCAAAAGGAAGAAGAAGGAAAGAAAAAAGAGGAGAGAAAAUUUGUUUCUCAAAAUUGUUCCUGAGAUUGAUCUUGGGAACAAGAAGUUACUCUUUUCUACUUCUUGUUUUUGUUCCAAAUCUGUUCUCGGGAACAAAAGUUUUACCAUGUUUCUAUUUUAUUUUUGUUCCCCGGAACAAAAGAACAGAAAUUUUUGUUCCGGGGAACAAAAACACUUUUUACAUCACUCAUCCUUGUUGCUACCCUCCACCGGCCGUCGCUGUCCUCCACUGGUCACCUGCCCUUCGCCACCUAUUGGUCAUCGCCCUCCACUCGCUAGCCACUUGCCAGCCACCAAUCACCACCUUUCAUCGGCUGCCACCAAGAAAUUUUAAGACCUAUCAAACGAAUUUCUAUUUCGAGAAUGUAAAUUAUGUAUUGUUAUCAAAUACAUGUCUUUGUUCAUCAACUCAUCCAAUGAAUAGAAAUAGAAAAAUCUAUUUCUUACAAGAAAAUAUUACCGGGAACAAAAUGAUUAUCGUUUGCACCCUUAUUGAACUUGAAUUUAACCGGAACAAAUCAUAAUGCAGCGGAAUCUGAAUGGGUUCCAUAGGUAAGUUAAAAGACAAAAAAGAAAAAGAAAAAAUGUUGAAAGGUCAACGUCCCCAAGACAUGUCAGUGGGAGCUUAGGCAAAGAAUUUUCGCGGAGCAAACCUGAAAUGCAGUUGAUCACUUCGUCUCAAUUGCUCUCAGCUCACCUGUGACAUGACCGUUGGACGAUGACCACACACGUUCCACGUUCCUUUUUUACGAAUACUUUACAGAGGAUCAACAUCCAAUAGAUCAUCAGCGUAAUCUGGAGUAGAGUUUCCCAUAUCUAAAGGUCGAAAUCGCAUUUUCUUGAAAACGUCGUCCGCCCCUCUUCUCCAUUCCCAUCGCGAUCUACAUCGUACACCACUGAAAAUUAGUCCACAAAAUGCAUGAGAAAUUGCAUGGCAAAUAUUUCGCAAAGAUAAAAUCGGCAUUGAAACCAGAAAAAGGAUCCAAAUGCCAAUGUUCCCACAAAUAUGAGAGCUCACCAUUAGGGAUGGGCAUAGGGGCGAGUCCAAUCCCCAGCCGGCGAACUAGGAACCUGCACCAUCCCUGUCCCGUUCCCCACGCGUGGUAGGGUGUUUUGCGCGGUUCCGUUGAAAGGGCAGCAGAGGGUAAGAUAGAGAGAGACAGUGUAUUAACACUUUGCCAAAAAUUUUGCCUUAAUUCCCACUAGUAUCCGUGUAUUAAAAUAGAGCGGGAGGUACACUCAAGUCAACGCUUAGCGAGCCAUACCAACAUUGUCCAUAACAUUGUCCGUAGCGAGCCAAACCAACAAGAACCGACGCCCAGAGCUUAAUGGAUAAUUAGCGAAGACACUCAAGUCAACGCUCUAAAGUCAAACCUGAAACUGAAUACACCGCCAAAAACUAAAGGGCCGUUUGAGGAACUAAAGAAUCGACUACUCAGGAUGAGUUUGAAGAGAGUAGCCUGGUCAACUUCGACAAACUCAGCGACCCAGGCCUUUGAGGACGUCCUCGAUGGUGCCAUCGUCGGACUUGGCAAACUCGACGUGCUUCUUGCAGUACUCGAUUGACAUUGAAGUACGAUCGUAAUUUGAGGAACCAUGAUCACCACGGCGAAUGCACACCAAUGGGAGAGGCAAGGACACAAAUGCAGUCGAUGAGGAAGAUCACCCUUGGGAGCUCUGACGGUGAUCCGUUCGAGGUCAACGAGGCUGUGGCCGACGAGUCACAUACGAUCAAGCACAUAUACUCACCCUCAUUAUGCACAAUUGUGGCUGAUGUUUUAUCCCAUGUACUCAACAAUGCUCUGUAGGAGUGUUAGCGUCAGGGAAUUAAGCUUAAAAAGGAGAGUCCUGAGCCCCCCUUCUCUUUACAUAUGGCUUCCUAUUCUUUGUUGUUGCUGACCCUGUUUGAACUGCGGAUGUUCCCAAAAGAUUGUUGACUGUAUUGCACUCUUGUCCGCAGGAUUAUCUUGCAAAAGUCCUGUAUAUGCUUCAGUCCUAACACGGGUGCAAAGUUGAGAACAGAGGUAAGCACAGUCCAGGGAAUCAACGUUAUUCAGAACCCUGGUAACUAUUUGGGUCUACCUAUUCUAUGGGGUAGAUCUAAACGUGAAGCUCUUGGCUUUGUGAAGGAAAGAGCCCUGAAAAGAAUGCCGAGCUGGAAAACUAAAUCGGUCUCACAAGCUAGUAGAAUAGGUAUUACAACAAAAAGUAAUGCAAUGAAAUAAAAUAUAAAUCAUGGUAUAAAUACAUGUUGUAUCAGAAACAAAAAGUUAUGAAUAUUCAGAACUCAUUUUAUGAACUCAUUUAGCUAGUACAACAAAAAAGUUGGAAUAUGUGACCCCAUGUUGUAUCAGAACUCAUUUUAUGAAUAUUCCCGGUUCCUAAUGAAAUAAAAUAUAAGUCAUGGUAUAAAUACAAGAAGUUAUUCAAUAUAUCAUAAUAAGAUUGUUAAACAAGGUUAUCUUCUCAUCACUCCCUAAUAUUUCUUGAUUUCUUUUACUUUCUUUUUUUUUCAAAAGCGAGUUUGCUUCCCUAGCAAAGAAGGCAAGAGUUCAAGAUUCCAUUAUGAUAAAAUCAGAGAUUUAAAAAAAAAAACUACUGAAGAAUAUAUAUUUUUAUAAUCAAACGGAAGCGCUAUUACUUGUAAGGAAGAUGAACUCUGCCUAAUUAGCUUUUUCUUUUCCCUUUUUAUAUUCACCAACCGGUGAAGAUGAUAUGCUUGGCUCUCCUUAAGCUUCCUGUGAUUCCAAGGCUGACACCUAAGCUUCAAUCACAAUAAUAACUCAUCCCAUCUUAAGAGGAGACCUAUCAUCCAAUUCAUUCUUAAUUCAAGGAUAUCUCUAAGCCCUCUUUUGCUUUUUAUCACGCCUUAUGUUGAAAUCCACAAGGAACCAUUCUAGAUUUAUCUUCCUCAAGUGGUGGAAAUUACAAUUAUAAAUAAUCAGAAUUGGAAUUGACUAUCAAAAUCAAAACGUAUUGCUUUCUAAGAUGUGUUAAUCAUUACCAUUGUCUUGAGCAAAGGCUUGACGUUAAUAAUUUCCAAUCAAAAUUGAUUGGAUGAACUCAAUUAAUAAAAAGUUAGUAUAUUUUAGAUUUUUUGGAUAAUUUUCCCCUACUAAAUCCACUAUACUAUGGAAUUCGAAAUUAAACGGACCAAAUCACAACGCAACCCAAUCUGACUGGGUUCCGAUAGGCAAAGAGAAAAGACAAUUCAGAUUGGUCAAAAAAAUCUAAAUUAUGAUGUCACCGCGUUGAUCGGCACAAAAGGUCAACGUCCUCAAGGCACGUCGGCGGGAGCUUAUCCAACAAAAUUUCCAAGCAAGAAAGAAGAAAAACAAAGGAAAAAGAAAACCAAGUCAGCUUCUGAAUGAUCAAUCUUUUCUUGUUCAGUAUUCAAAAUGAAAAACAGAAGAGCCCACUGUCUUCAGAAAUGAAAACCAUCAAACUCGAUCUACUCUAAAGAACACAAGGCUAAUAGAUUCUUAUUCUCACCAGCACACAACAAAACAACAUCUCUCUCUCUCUCCCUCCCUCCUAUAAAUUACCCUCUUCACCACAUCUUACCUUGAAUCCAACAAGCCGUCGAACUCUUCAGUUUGUCCAUAAAUCGUACCAAAAAAGGACAGAACAUCUGGUUUUUUUGGCCUGUCUCUGUCUCGUCCUUGCUGAAAGAGGGGGAUGGCUGAGACGGUAGCGAGAGAGAGGAAGAUACUGGUGGCGGUGGACGAGAGCGAGGAGAGCAUGUACGCCUUGUCGUGGUGUCUCCAGAACGUCGUCUCCGAGAACUCCAAGGACACCCUCGUCCUCCUCUACGCAAAGCCCCUUCGUUCUGCCUACACAGCCCUCGACGGCACAGGUAAAAAACUAAACGUCAAGAUGUUCUUCUUCUUGUUCCGACAUGGUGGGGGUGGCGGCAGCAAUGAGGGCCUCCUCACCAUAGAGGCCCUUGUUGAUUUGCUUCCAAAACCCUUUUUUUUUUUUUUUAAUUAAUUUUUUAAUUUAAUUUAAUUAAUAUUUAUAUUAAAAAUCAAAUUUAUGGGCAAAACAGCGUAUUGCUGACUAAGCAUUCCAAUGAGUAACGUGGAUAAGUUUUAUUAUUGAAAUAAUGCAAUAUCAGAUUUCUAACUACUUUCGUCAGAAUUAGCACUUAAGUAUCCAUUUUUUUUUUAAAUGCCACUUAAAAUGCCACUUAAAUGUAUUUUUUGAAGUUUUGGCACUAAAGUGUUGGCUCAUGCCAAGUUUUGGCACUUAUGGUGUACAUUUGCCCUCGUCCUCCUCUAUGGAAAGCCCCUUUGAUCUUCCUACAGGUAAAAAAACUAAACGUUCUUUUGCUAUGGAGACCAUCUCUUGCGAUUAUAUUUAUAGAGUGGUUUUGACAUUUUUAUUUUUCAUUUCGUUCUUUGUUCCGGUACCUGUUUUCUUCAGACAUAGUGGCCACCAUGGAGAGGUACAACAAUGAAAUGGCCGACUGUUUUAUGGCUAAGGCUAAGAAGAUCUGCCAUGAUUGUGGUGAGAUGAGCUCUUAUUAAGGCAUAAAUUUCUAAAUUUCAAUAAGCGAAAUAUCAAAGGGAUUACUGUGAUGGUUGACCUGGGUAUGGUUGCUGUUAUUGGGGACAGGUCGAGGUGGAGACGAGCGGGAGAAUGGGGAUGCAAGAGAUGUGAUCUACCGAGGGACGCAGAAGUUGGCACCUGAUGUUCUGGUGAUGGGAAGCCAUGGGUACAGCCUUAUCAAGAGGUACUUCAAAUACUCAUUUCGUUUAGUUACUCAAAAACUCCUGAUAUCGACCCUAACGCUAGAACAUUGCUUCAGUGGAAAGACAUGUAUUAUGUAGCCCUAGAUUGAGAAAUGCUUGCAUUGCAAGUGUGGGUGAACGAUUUUACGAUAGGUAGGUUCCAGAUUAUUGUUGUGAGUAGCAUUCGAGAACCAGGCCUAACUUUAAAUGUUGUCAUCAUUGUUUUGGAAGAAAAUAUAAUGUAAACAAUUUGUGGUAUGGUGGUUAAGAAACUAAAGGAUUCAUAAAUUUUGGGUUUGAAACCCAUCUCUAGCAUAUCUAACAUUUCUUUAUAUAAAAUGAAAAGAGCAAAUGAAAAUCGGUCCAAUUGCUCACCCUAGUUGAAAGUUGUCCUCACCUAUACGCGGGCAAUCUAAAAGUCUCUAAGUUUUCGAUUGACUAUUUAAUGAUUUAUUCCUAUUAGUAGAAUGAGGGGAAGUAAUAAGCUUUUAGUCUUAAUUGUAAAUUUCUUUUUUGUUUUGGCAAGUAGAUUGUAAUAUUUGUAUGGAUAUUGGCUAGUGAUUGGUGAAAUGUGGCAGGGCGUGAGCUAUCACUAUACUCAAAAUGUCGAGUGCCCUAUGUUGGUAGUGAAGAGACCCACAUCUAGCAGGAAUAACUAAAACUCGAAUCUGUAAAGUUUGUGCUUGGGAUCUUCCUUGGUUGGGUCCAAAUCCUAGGUUGCCUUUAAGCACUUUGUCAAGUUUCAUUGUAUAUACUCCCACAUUGUCUAGUGUCCUCAUUGUUUCUUACCUAGGCUUUCUGUACAUGCAUAUUCUUCGUCAAUUAUGACUUAUGAAUGGAUUGAUUUUUUGUUAAUAAAACUUUAUUAACACCCAAAUUUUGACGGAUCUACUUAAUCAUUCAUUAAUUACAUAAAAAAUUAUGGAUUAAUUUUUAACCUUUAGAAAAAAUAAUUUUCAUUAAAUUGCAUUGCAUAAAAACAUUAGGAGCAUUUGCAUUACUAGUAUUAAAGUUUAAAAAAAUUUAAGAAUUUUAAUAUUAUAACUUUUAUAAUUAUUUAUAUAUAUAUAAAUAUAUAUAUAUAUAUAUAUAUAUAUAUAUAAAUUUAAAAAAAGUAAGACCCGCCUUCUUUUUUUUACCCUCUUCUUCCUCUUUCCCGUAGCCCGCCCUCUCCCUCGCGCUCUCACGCGUAAAAAGGAAAAAAUAGAAGGCUCGUACGAGCAGAAGGACAAGAGAGCAGAGGGCAAAGCGUCUCACCGGAGUGGGUGGUCGGGUGCAGACCAGCGACGGCAGCUGGUGUCACGGGAGGCCAUGUGCGUCGGUGGCCAUUAAAAGGAAAGAGAGGUAGAGAGAGAGGGGGCAUUUUUACAGAGGAAGGAGACUGAGAGGGAGAGAGGCGCGUAGAGCGAGAGCCGAGAUAGAACGGGGAGCGAGAGUGAGCUGGGCCGACACCGCGGCCACGCACGAACUCCGUCCGAUGACCACGCCCGGUCGAUGUCUUCAAGCCGAACGGGUAAAUCUUUCUUUUUUCCCUCUUUUUUUCUGCCCUGUUUUGGGGCACGCCGGGCCGGAGCUCGCGACCGUCUGGCUCACGCGAACUCCGGCCCCGUCCAUCCCUCCUUCGGUUGUUGUGUGUUUCCUUGUCUGUUUGGCGAGAGUCCCGGUUUUGGUUCGGGUCCCUGGUCGAGUCGGAGACCUCACGAUUCGUGCGCGCCCUUCACCCAUUCGCCGAAAUGCUUCUUCAGUGAGAUCUAGUUUUCAUCCUCCCGUUUUUAGACAAAACCGAGCGUCCUGGAGUUGAUUCGUUCUGUUGAGGCGGGUGUUGUUGAGUUUGCCGUUCCGGGCGUCGGUCGUUUCGCCAUAUUCUCGCCACGGCCGUCAUUGUUUAUGUUUGCGCGUGGCCGAGGGCGCCACGGCCGGCGAUGUCAGGUUCCGGCCUAGGAGUGACGGCCUAGACGGAGGGGUUGUCUUCAGGGUGGCCGUGUUUUUUCUGCUUGGUCCGCGGCCGCUCACGGUGGUCGUCCGCGGAGGCUCCGCAGUUUCUUGCGGAUCGGCGUCCAAGCGGCCCCGUCAUGGUUGUCAUUGGAGCCUCACCGGCCAGACGAAAGCCAAGUGCUCGGCCCCGGGGCGGCUGAGGCGAAGCCUAGAGGCGUCCUUGGCCGGGCGAAGACGGGCGGCGUCGCUCAUCGCGGCCAUCUCCGUCGCGCUGAGACUGCCGCGAGCGUGGGGGAGGAGCUGCGGUUCGGGGGAUGGAAUGAGUACGAAGGAUGGACUCAAGGCUUGGGGUCUUGAUUUUGGUUUGGACUGAAUUGGGGAUUGGGCUUUAGGAUAAACUUAGGUCUUUUUAAGUGGGCUCGGUUUAGCUUUGGAAAGCUUGGGCUUGUUAAUUUAGCUCUUGGGUCGAGCUUGUUUUGUUAGAGUUGGACUUAGCUAAAUGCUGGAGGAAUUGGGCUUAAUUCUAUGAGGUGAGCCCAAUUCGUUUUUUAAUUAAUUAAAGCCUCCUAAUGUGUAAAGCCCAUUUCACGUCCUUGAGCCCAGCUUCGUAUGAACUGAUGCAGCCCAUUUUUGGGACUGCGCCCGAGUCCCUAUUGUCGGAUAAAAAUUUUAAAAUUUUAAAAAUAUAUUUUUUAAAAUAAAAAUUUCGAAUUUUUUUUUUCUGAAAACUAUGGAAAAGCUAAAAAUAAAAAAUAAAAAAUAUCUUUUAAGUAUUUUUUUCUUAAAAUGUGUAAAAAUCCUUAAUAAAAAAUUCGUGUUCAAAAUUGAACAAACUCUUAGGACUUCGCUAUAGGAUUUGGAUGUCCUUAAUGGCAAAUGGUAGGCUAUGAUUUGUGCACUUCCAUUUCCAUGAUCACUUGAUUGCACACUUUUAAAAUGUUGUUUGUUGUUUGCCUUUAGUCUAGUUAGGGGAUGACAAGAUAACAUGACAAUGAUCAAUGAAUGCCAAAAAAUGGUAAAAGUCUAGCAAAAUAAAGUUCAUGAUCGUGUCAAGUGAAGAAUCAUACCUAUGCAUCAUCGUUAGCAUCGGUAGAGUCAGCACUCUCACCCAUUUUAAUUUCAAAAUCAAAGUGACCUCCGGCAUCAUCAUCUUCAAAAAAAGAUGUGCACUUCCUUUUUCCCCUGUCAUAGAUUUGUACAGUUUAAACCAUCCAAAUAAAUAAGAUUAGGAAUUUUUAAAGAAUAGGUAUAGAAGGCUUACAUCUAAAUCUACUGGAUCAUUGGCUUACUAGAAAGGGCAUAAAUCGAAGUCGGAGAAAUAGGAACAAACCAAUGUGAAUAGAACAUCUCUCUCUCUCUCAAUCGAAAUUGCGCCUGUGAAUAGGUACAUUAUAAGUAUUGUCAAAAACCCUAAGCUAUCCAGGGGAAAAUAUGCAACCAUGCAAUACCCAGCAUCACAAGCAUAACCUCCAGAGAUACGAGUAUUGAUUUCCUGUCAACUCACCAAUUUAGUAACUGUUCACAUCCUUGUUUGUCAAUAUAUAUAUAUAUAUAUAUAUAUAUAUAUAUAUAUAUAGACAAUUCAGAUAGCAUUAAAUAAUGAAGCGAUUUGAUCUUAAAACUUCUAUGCUCCUUUCUAAUUACCAAAAAAUAUGAGUUAUAACAGAUCUAGGUUACCUCUUCAUCUCAUUUCUUCUCAGCCUUGUCAGACGCUGCCUUCUCAGCCUGCAAAGAAAAAAUAAAGCCCAUGAAUACUCUAUACUCUUACCAAAUUCAAAAGUAAAACUUACAAGGAGCAAAACCACUUGCAUCCUUGUUCUUGCCCCAUGUUUCUUCAGCAAGCUUCGUGGCAUACUCAGGAUCAUCACAGACCAAGGCAUUAUUGAAUAAGGUUCCAGAUCUGACUUGACAAAUCGAGCGUAGAGUAAACCGAAUUUUGAGCUCCCGGAACAUUGUUAUUAAAUAAAACUGGAUCGGUUACAGAAAAAUUACCUGCCACAGUUCAUUCCAACAUGCUUUAAGAUGGGGAAGCCAUAGAGCUCUGGGUCAUCUUUGAAGUCUAUAAAAAAUACAUAGGAUAGACUUCAAAGAACUUUCAAAUAACAGCAAACAAUAGCAGCGAACAAGAAAAGAAUAACAUUGAUGUACAUCUAAGCUUAAGAAAAGAACUAGUGAUUAAGACCCUGGGUUGUCCAUUAUUGGUGCCUUCCACUUUUCCCUGUAGUUGGGAUUCUUAAUUCUCUGCAAAUAAGCAUGAUCAAGAGAAUCCCUUAAAGCAGUCCAGAACGUAGACUCACAAGUUGCAUACCUUUGGCUUCCAUGGACCCUUUUAUUUAGGGUUGGCAAUGGUCGGGGUAGUCCACUCACCAUCCACCUCAUUGGCCCAGUCUUUGGGCUUAAAUCAUAAUCUUGAUUAGUAACUAAAUAUUGUACAUCAACCUCAUGAAAGCAUGGUUGAUAAUCAGCUUCAAAUCGAAAUCAUCGUUUAGCAGGUUUACCAUCUUGGCAGUGGGAUUUGGUGUCUUUUUUGGGAUGUCAUCAAUCAUAGCCCUGUCAUCACAUCUACAAUAUCCUUUUAAAAGAUUUACAGGAAUACUGCAUUUAAGAAAUCCAACAAAUAGAAGACAAAAUGAUCAUAUAAUCUUCUGGCGUGCGAAACCUAUAUGGGGUGUCGCCACCAAACUCUUUCUGAUCAACCUCCCUACUGAGUAGCUUUAUGUGCCCCNNNNNNNNNNNNNNNNNNNNNNNNNNNNNNNNNNNNNNNNNNNNNNNNNNNNNNNNNNNNNNNNNNNNNNNNNNNNNNNNNNNNNNNNNNNNNNNNNNNNAGAGUCAUGUUUUUGCGCAUGUAUUACAGAGAAUUGGGAAACUAGUCUUUGUCCUUGUUACAGAAUUUAGGGCACUGAGCUGAUAUAGCAUAGAAUGUAUAGUCUUCACUUUUUUGGAUACCUGCAAAUGCAAGGAGGGAUUACUGCUACAGAAUUUGCCAUUAGUCACUCCAAUUUAAGGAAACUUUCCAUCUUCAAUAGGUAAUUGACUCAACUUACCAUGUUGAAUUUGCAAGAUGAAAAAUUCUUAGGUUAAAUCUAAUCUUCCCUUGGGAAGCUCGUCCAAAUCUCCUCUUUGGAUCUUAGCUUUAAUCAACUCUUUGGGAAAAACUACUUCCUUGACCAAAUUCACCAACCUCAUUUACAAUCGGUCAAAUUCCAGCUGAGAUCACUAGCCUCACCUGUCAACUUAUCUAAACCUAUCCUUUAAAAAAUCAGCUGAUCCAACUCCUGAAAACAUUUCUAACCUCAGAAUCUUACUAUCCUAGACUUGCAAUCAAACAACCUAAAUGGCACUUUGUUGCUAAACCUGGUGCUCAGAUUAAAACACUUAAUGGUGUUGGUACUCCCAUUUGAUGAAUUCUCAUCAAUUAUUGAAUCCAAAAUGAAUGCUAGCCUUUCAAACUUGUUUGCUCUCUACUUGGCUUCAAGCAACUUAAGUGAGUUCCGCAUCUUCCUAUUGGACCAAAGUAGGUUGCAAAGGUUGGACCAAUCCCAAAAUAGCAUUUAUGGGCUGCCAUCUCGGUGGUUCUUAAUUGUAAGUAUAGCAAAAUUGGAGUUUUUGAAUCUUUCCAGAAAUUUUGUACAAGUUUCACAGCUUUUAAAUGCCCAAAUCUUAUGACAUUAGACCUUAGUUACAACAAUGUACAAAGCUUACAAUUCCCCCGAAGGCCAAUAAAUUUUAUUGUCUUCAAUAACAAACUAUCCGGAGAAACAUCACCGGCUAUAUUCUAGCUAAGCUCCACUUUAAGUCCAAGAACAAGUUGACCGGCGUUAUCCUGCCAUACUGAGCAAUUUGAGCGAGGCCCUUCUCACCUUGAGUUUGCAUGGCAAUGAUUUUUAAGGAAGAUUUCCUCCAUUACAGACUAAUGAAAGUGCAAUGGGAAUGACAGAUUUGGGUGCUAACCAACUACAAGGGAACUACCAAGGGCAUUAGCCAAUUGUAACAGUCUAGAUUUUCUCAAUUUGGGAAAUAAUCAGAUGGUUGACACCUUCUCUUCAUGAAUAGGCUUGCUUUCUUGUUUGAAGGUGCUCAUUAUGCGUACCAAUAUAUAUUUCUGUAGCCAUGAGGGACUUCAAUGCUCGUUCUCAGUUUCCUAACGUACAAAUUGUCGAUCUAUCCAUGAACAACUUCUUGACUGGCCUCCCAUCUGAAUACUUGAUUGCUGGAGUGACACGAAAGUCAACAAUUCAGAUGAUGCAACUACUAGAGGAACUACGUGCCCCCAUACCUCCCAUUUCCUGAGUUUGAGGGAAUUAUGACUACUCAAUGAUGAUAAUCAACAAAGGCAUUAUAAUAACAAAAGGUUAUUAUCUUUGGAAAUUGUUGGAAAAUAUGGUAACGAUUAGAGUCACAAAGCCCACAGUCUUGACUGUAUAUAGUCAAGGCUCCUCUAUCGCCAACGUGGGACAUUUUUGUCCACGUAACAUUCCCCCAAGUUCCUGUAGACUUGGAUCUAAGACCGCUUCAAGACUUCAUUUUCCAGAGAAUAUUUCUGGGUGAGAGGGGAUGAAUUUUUCUUUUCUAAAUUGAGCAGUUUUGCUUUCAUCUGCAAAAAAUCGAAAUGGAAACAAUUAAUCUUUAUCAUUGAAAAUUAUGCAAGACGUGCAAAUUUUCUGUUUGAUAAAUGAAAAGUGUUUAUUUGAUUGUGAGAGUGGGUUCCAAGGGAAGAAAUAGGAAGAGAACCAAAAUAGCAUUCUUGGCCAGAAAGUAAGGAAUUUGUAAAGAAAAGAGUGUAUCAGCAAUCUAGGAUGUUACGCAUGACGUACCACUUACCUAAAAUUGUCAAUGGUGUUAAGCAUGUUUUUAGUUCCUAAAUCUGUCAUGGAUAACAGCGCUGAGAAGUGGAAUUCUUCUCUUGUAGGGCAAGGUCUUGGCAAGAAAGAUUAUUGGAUUUAUUUCCUCUACGGUGAAUAUGUUGUGGGGAUAGGAGGAGAUUGAAAAUAGAAUGUUCCUUAUGAGCUUUCCCUCUUCCAGAACAUUGCCCGCUAUCCUCUUGUGCUAAGGAAAUGGAAGCCUGAACUGCAAAGUUAGGAGGUCUCCGAUGUGAAAACAGUUGUUGGGUUAAGCUACAGAGCGUUCCUAUGUAUCUUCUGACAUGGGAGGGUGGUCUUGAGGGUUUCUUCAAGGGUGAGAAAGGACUAAGGCAGGUUGAUCCUUUAUUGCAUGUUUUUUUAUGGUGAUGGAGGUUUUCCCAAAACUGUUCAAUAAUGCUGCAAGUCAUGGCAAAUCAAAAUACCAUUCUCAGCGCUCUAAGAUGAAACUUGCCGAAAAGGGGAUAUGAAUUCUUUGAACGAAGUAGUGGCCUUGUUUCAGAGACUUAAGCACACGUCAGGUCUUAGUCUUAAUCCCCUAAAGACCGGGAAAUAAAUCUAGCUGGUAUUAAGCGGCAGCUAGUGGAUGACAUACAUCUCUUGGUGACUUUAAAAAGGGCCAAGUGCCAGUUAGAUACCUUGGCCUUCCUCUGAUUUUAGGAAGGUUAAGUGAUCCAGUGUAAGCCUUUGGUGGAUAAGAUUACUUUUUGAAUGAGUUCUUGGACAAUUAGGCAUCCGAAAGAUUGCAACUCAUUAAGGAAGUGACAGCUUGGUGAAUCUUUGGAGUCAAUUUUUUUUUUUGCCAAAAAUGUUAUCAAUAUGAUGGAAAGCAAGUGUAUUGCCUCCCUUUGGAAGGGAAAAUCUGAAAGCGCUCGAGGUUCAAAAGUUUCUUGGAUGAUGCAUGUCUCCCCAAGUUUAAGGGUGGUUUAGGAUUUGAGGAAACUGGGGCCUUGCAACUUUGCUUGUCGAUUGAAGAACUUACGGAGAUUUUGUUGCUGGCUGGAUCCUAUGGGCCCUUGAACAUUGCCCACUGUCCAUUUGGGUGACAUGACAAAAUUUCUUCAGCAUAAAUUAAUUUCUCAAUUUCUAUUCCCUAAAUAAAUUUUUGAGUAAAGAAACGGGUUUAUCAACGAUUCAAAAUUUUUGUUUUUAGAAUAGAAAUUCAUUUGAUAACAAAAUAAAAUUUCUAUUUCUAGGAGAGGCAACGGCGGGCAUCCGUGGUCCGAUGAUGGGCGUCCAACGAUGGGUGGCUGACGUUCGGCAUCAGGCGGCGGGCGACCGGCGGCCGGCAAUGGGUGAGCAGCGAGUAGUAAUAGGAGUGAAUGAUAAAAAGAGUGUUCAUUUCUUACUUUUGUUCCAAAAAUAGAAAAAAAAAUAGAAAAAAAUAGAAAAGCUAAUAAUUUUAGGACGCAUUUGGUAACGAUUCUGUUCCUGGGAACAAAUUCUGAUUUGAAAUGAUUUUUUUUUUAUUUUAUUCCUGAAAACUGAUUCUGAGUAAAAGAAAAUGCGUUUGGUAACUAUACAAAAUUUCUGAUUCUAGAGUAGAAUUGCAUUUGGUACCGUGCUAAUUGAUUCUAUUCCAAAUCAUUUUUUUUAUUUUUUAUUUUUUAUUUUUUUUUAUUUUUUUCUUUUCUCUUUUUUCCUUUUUUUUUCUUUUCUUUCUUUUCUUUUUUUCCUUUUUUUUUCUUUUCUUUUUUUUAAAUUUUUUUUCGCCUAUUCUUCUUCUUCUUCAAGCCGGUCGCCAGACCGGCGACCGACUAGAUGAGGGCUAGCGACCUCAUUAGAGUGUUGCCAGCCCUCAACAAGGCCGGCCCUCGUCGGCCGAGCCUCGCCGAUAGCUGAGUGAGGCUCGACUCGCCAGAUCCAGCAAGGCCGAGCCUUGCCGAUGGCCAGGCCGGCCUCGCCGGGGCUGUGCGAGGUCGACCUAGCCACCGACGGGGCUGGACAAGCCUCGCCGGUGGCCAGGCGAGCCUCGUCAAGGCUAGGCGAGGCCUGCCUAGCCACCGACAGGGCUGGGUGUCGUGAGGCUCACCCACCUACCGGCUAGGCACGGCCUCACCGGUGGCCAAGUCGGCGACUUGUGCAAGCUCACUGAUGGUUGGGUGAGACUUUGGCGAGCUCGCCAGACCUCGCCGGUGGCUGGGCGCGCUCGCUGGACCUCAUCGAUGGCUGGGCGCACUCGCCGGACCAGUUGCCGGUGAUUGGCGGUAGCGACCGGCGACAGCAGGCGACGGUGGGCGGCGGUCGCAAGAUGGCGGUCGAUGAAGAAGAAGAAGAUUUUUGAUUUUCAAUUUGUUCCUGGAACAAGAAUCAACUUUUUUUUUUUUUAUUCUUGAUUCUCCUCCAAAUCUGUUCCUAGGAACAAAAAUUUUACCAAAUGCAAUUCUGUUCCAAAACUACUCCCAGGAACAAAAAAUCAGAAUCUAGCACUGUUGGGAUGGUUACCAAACAGGCUCUUAACUUCUGAUUUUGCUCCAAAUCUAUUUAUAGAAUAGAAAUUUGUUUAAAAAAAAUGAUAUUGCGUUACUAAAUGAAUUUUUGUUCAAACAUGUUAUGAGGAUCACAAAAAUAAAAAUAAACAUAAACAUAAAUUUUGUCAUGGACAUCUUUAAAGGGCAAUCUAACUGGGCAAUAAGUCCAACUAGCGAGAGCAGCUAUGCUUGUAAAAUAGUAUAUAAUGUAUAGUUUCUUUUAAAAUUAAUUUUAAAAUUCGACGGAAAACCCAGUAAUUAAUUAAUUAAUUGUAAUUUGCACUGCAAAGCAUAGCUUGAGUGGUCACUUUUCUUCAUGUCCCAUAUAAAACUCGACCUCUCUUACGACUUGGUGUUGAGAAGACUUUUUUAGAUAUGCUAAUUGUCAUGUCUUGCACAUAAUGGAUGACGACUGGAAAAAUGGGAAGUCAAGAUUUUCAAAUUAUGAUAGGGGUAAUCUAUUCUUAACUUUUCAUCACCAAUAUAAAAAGAUUACUAGAAGCUCGCUAGACUAGAUCUUUGCUAGAAAUGCAUAUCCUCUUAGAUUGCGAAUGAAAAUUAUUUUAUUUCUUUUUAUUUCUUUUUUUUUUCUGUUAUUUAGAAUAGGUUUGGAAUAGAAAUUCGUUUGAUAAUGCAAUUUCAUUUUUCUAUUUUCAAAACAAAUUUUUAGCUAAGAAAUAGAUUUUGAAUAAAAAUGAGAAAAGUAGAAAUUUUCUACUUUUCUAUUUUUGGAACAGAAAUAGAAAUAAAAACUCUUUUCAUUACUUGUCAUUACCAUCCUCUGCUAGCAAAUGGUCGUCGCCCUCCACCCAUUGCCCACCCGCCACCCGCCAGCCACCAAUCACCACCCUUCACCAACCACUCCAACCACUGCUAAGAAAUUUUAAGGCUAUCAAACGAAUUUCUAUUUUAGGAAUAUAAAUUCUGUCACAUUAUCAAACGUAUAUCUUUGUUCAAAAACUCACCUAAGAUAUAGAAAAAGAAAAAAAAAAUAUUUUUGAUAAGAUAUUAUUCUUAAGAACGGAAUGAUUAUUGUUUACGCCUUUAUUAAACUUGAAUUUAACCGUGAACAAGUCAUAACACAGUCAAAUCCAAAUGGGUUUCAUAGGUAGAAAGACAAAAAAGUUGAAAGGUUAACGUCCCCAAGACAUGUCGGUGGGCGCUUAGGCAAAAUUUUGAAAAACAAAACCGAGGCAAUUUUCGCUGAGCAAACCACAAAUGCAGUUGAUUACUUCGUCUCAAUUGCUCUCAGCUCACUUGUGACAUGGCCUUUGGACGAUGACCACAUAUGUCUCACGUAAGGGUGAGCAUCGAUCUAAGGUCAACCCUGGACCAACCUUGGAUCGGCCCAACUCUACCGGUCCUAGUCCAGUUCCUAGGAAGAUCAAGUCGAUCAUUGGUCCUGGGAUUCCUAGACCAAUACUGUACGGGUUGAUCCUCGAUUCUGAAAGUUUAGAUAUAUAUAUCUAAUAUAUUAUUUAUAAUUUUUUAUAUAGAGAAAAUCCUAAAAUAAACGGCGCCAACAGCAUUAAAUAGCUCCUUAGUAUGGAGUUGAAUAAUUUUACACUAUUUUUUAAUAACUUAGAUCUUUUAAUGUCUUUUACGGCGUCAAAAGUCAUAAUUUACAAAGAAGAAAUAUGUUUUUAUGAGGAGUCCUCAGGGUGUUCAAAAGAGCAUAAAUAACUCCUCACGGCAUCCUCAUCUAAUACUCGUUUUCUUCUAUCCUAUUUGUUAUCUUAGUCUUUAAUUUGCCAAAAUCAAAAGAAAUAACUUUUAUGCUCGCCACUUAACACUAGCCUCUCACUUGCUUUGGGUCACUCCUGCCGCUCGCCGCUCAAUGCUUGCCUAGCUUGUUGCUCCCUGCUCGAUGCUCGAUGCUCACCCCACUCGAUACUCGUCACUCGCCUCUCUUAGCUAACCUCGCUUGUCAUUGAACCUAUAAGGUCAGUCCAGUUCUCACUCACUUUUUCAAGGAAUACAAAAAUGAAACAAAAAAUUAUUAAUUGAUCCUGAGUUGAUUAUAGAAUUGGACCAAACCCAUUAGGUCGAUCUGGUCCUUGAUUGCCUUUUUAGAUAGUACAAAAAAUGAAAUAAAUAAAUUAUCGGUUGAUCCCGAGUUAAUCUUGGAACUGGACCGAACCCACUGGGUUGGUUUGAUUCUUGGUCCCAAGCUCAAUAGGAUCGGUCCUCGGUCCUCGAUUCAAAAAAUUGAUAACCAGUACUAUGUGGGUUGGUCCUAGAGUAAGGGGGUGGGCCAACCCAAUCCAAACCAUGCUCACCCCUCUUCACGUUCCACGUUCCGACCCAUGGACAGUGCCCUUUUUAUUAUUUUCCUUUGUUUUCUUGCUUUUUUUUCUUUUUCUUUUUUUUUUACUUCCUUUUUGACAAAUCCUUUAUAGAGGAUCAAAAUCCAAUUUGUCAUCAGCGUAAUCUAGAGGAGAGUUUCCCAUGUCAAAAGGUGGAAACCACAUUUUCUUGAAAACGUCGUCCGCCCUUCUUCUCCCUUCCCAUCACCAUCUUCAUCGUACACCACUGAAAAUUAGUCCACGAAAUGCAUAAGAAAUAGCAUCGCGAAGAUUUCGUAGAGGUAAAAUCGACAUUAGAAUCAGAAAAAGGAGCCAAAUGCUAAUGUUCCCACAAAUAUGAGAGCUCGCCAUUAGGGAUGGGCAUUGGGGCGAGUCCAAUCCCUAGCCGGCUAACUAGGAACCUGGGCCAUCCCUGUCCUGUUCCCCACGCGGGGCAGGGUGGUCGCCGGCAGUUCUUUGAAAGGGCGGCAGAGAGUAAGAUGGAGAGAGAGAGAGAGUGUAUUAACACAAUACCAACAAUUUUGCUUUAAUUCCCACUAGUAUCCGUGUAUUAAAUCAGAGCGGGAGGUACACUCAAGUCAACGCUCAGCGAGCCAAACCGACAUUGUCCUUAACAUUGUUCGUAGCGAGCCAAAUCGACGAGAACUGACGCUCAGAGCUUAAUGGAUAAUUAGGAUACGUUUGGUAACGUUUUUUGUUUAAAAAUUGUUCCAAUGAACAAAAAUAGAAAAAACCAUUUCUCUUCCGGGGAAUAAUUUUUUAACAAAAGAACGUGUUUGAUAAAUUUGUUCCUGGAAUAGAAAAAGAACAUGAACACGUUUGGUAAACUUGUAUGAUUUUUUUGUUUCCUUUAAUUUUUUAAUAUUUUUAUUUUAUUUUUAUUUUUUUCUUUUCCUUUUUUUCUUUUUUUUUUCCCUUCCUUUUGGUCGGUCGCCGGCCUCAACCAUGGCCGACGACUGGCCGACAAGGGCCGGUGGCCUUGCCCAGCCAUGGCGAGGAUCGCCAGCCCUCGGCGAGGCCGAGCCUUGCUAUGGCUAGGCGAGGCUCGGCCUCACCUUGACUGGGCGAGCUCGAGCUUGCCCAGAUUCAGGGAGGCCGAGCUCACCCAGCCACUAGCGAGGCUCAGCCUCGCUCGGCCAUUGCCAGGUGAUGCCUACCUGGCUGUGGCCCGGCGACGUUGGGUGAGCUCGCCUAGAUUCGGUGAGGCCGAGCCUCACCAGCCGCGCGAGGUCGGCCUCGCCUUGGCUAGGCAAGCUCGAGCUCGCCCAGAUUCGGUGAGGCCAAGCUUCGCCAGUGGUUAGGCGAGCUUGAGGUCGCCGGCCCUCACUAGCUCUUGACAGGCGGUCGCCAACCAUGGUCGAUGGCGGCGACCGGUCCACUGAAUAAGAAGAGGAAGAGAAAGAGGNNNNNNNNNNNNNNNNNNNNNNNNNNNNNNNNNNNNNNNNNNNNNNNNNNNNNNNNNNNNNNNNNNNNNNNNNNNNNNNNNNNNNNNNNNNNNNNNNNNNNNNNNNNNNNNNNNNNNNNNNNNNNNNNNNNNNNNNNNNNNNNNNNNNNNNNNNNNNNNNNNNNNNNNNNNNNNNNNNNNNNNNNNNNNNNNNNNNNNNNNNNNNNNNNNNNNNNNNNNNNNNNNNNNNNNNNNNNNNNNNNNNNNNNNNNNNNNNNNNNNNNNNNNNNNNNNNNNNNNNNNNNNNNNNNNNNNNNNNNNNNNNNNNNNNNNNNNNNNNNNNNNNNNNNNNNNNNNNNNNNNNNNNNNNNNNNNNNNNNNNNNNNNNNNNNNNNNNNNNNNNNNNNNNNNNNNNNNNNNNNNNNNNNNNNNNNNNNNNNNNNNNNNNNNNNNNNNNNNNNNNNNNNNNNNNNNNNNNNNNNNNNNNNNNNNNNNNNNNNNNNNNNNNNNNNNNNNNNNNNNNNNNNNNNNNNNNNNNNNNNNNNNNNNNNNNNNNNNNNNNNNNNNNNNNNNNNNNNNNNNNNNNNNNNNNNNNNNNNNNNNNNNNNNNNNNNNNNNNNNNNNNNNNNNNNNNNNNNNNNNNNNNNNNNNNNNNNNNNNNNNNNNNNNNNNNNNNNNNNNNNNNNNNNNNNNNNNNNNNNNNNNNNNNNNNNNNNNNNNNNNNNNNNNNNNNNNNNNNNNNNNNNNNNNNNNNNNNNNNNNNNNNNNNNNNNNNNNNNNNNNNNNNNNNNNNNNNNNNNNNNNNNNNNNNNNNNNNNNNNNNNNNNNNNNNNNNNNNNNNNNNNNNNNNNNNNNNNNNNNNNNNNNNNNNNNNNNNNNNNNNNNNNNNNNNNNNNNNNNNNNNNNNNNNNNNNNNNNNNNNNNNNNNNNNNNNNNNNNNNNNNNNNNNNNNNNNNNNNNNNNNNNNNNNNNNNNNNNNNNNNNNNNNNNNNNNNNNNNNNNNNNNNNNNNNNNNNNNNNNNNNNNNNNNNNNNNNNNNNNNNNNNNNNNNNNNNNNNNNNNNNNNNNNNNNNNNNNNNNNNNNNNNNNNNNNNNNNNNNNNNNNNNNNNNNNNNNNNNNNNNNNNNNNNNNNNNNNNNNNNNNNNNNNNNNNNNNNNNNNNNNNNNNNNNNNNNNNNNNNNNNNNNNNNNNNNNNNNNNNNNNNNNNNNNNNNNNNNNNNNNNNNNNNNNNNNNNNNNNNNNNNNNNNNNNNNNNNNNNNNNNNNNNNNNNNNNNNNNNNNNNNNNNNNNNNNNNNNNNNNNNNNNNNNNNNNNNNNNNNNNNNNNNNNNNNNNNNNNNNNNNNNNNNNNNNNNNNNNNNNNNNNNNNNNNNNNNNNNNNNNNNNNNNNNNNNNNNNNNNNNNNNNNNNNNNNNNNNNNNNNNNNNNNNNNNNNNNNNNNNNNNNNNNNNNNNNNNNNNNNNNNNNNNNNNNNNNNNNNNNNNNNNNNNNNNNNNNNNNNNNNNNNNNNNNNNNNNNNNNNNNNNNNNNNNNNNNNNNNNNNNNNNNNNNNNNNNNNNNNNNNNNNNNNNNNNNNNNNNNNNNNNNNNNNNNNNNNNNNNNNNNNNNNNNNNNNNNNNNNNNNNNNNNNNNNNNNNNNNNNNNNNNNNNNNNNNNNNNNNNNNNNNNNNNNNNNNNNNNNNNNNNNNNNNNNNNNNNNNNNNNNNAAAAAAGAGAUAUAAAGAUAAAAAAAAGAAAAUAUAGAAAAAAAUAAGAAAGAAAAAAAAUAGAACGUGAUUAAGGAAAUAUGAAGAUAGAGGAACAUUGGUAAUAAAAACAAGCAGAUAGACAACCAAGUCGGAGGCAGACAGCCGACCAAAGAAAAAGAAAGAAGAAAAGAAAGAGAAGAAAAAAAAUAGGAGAGAGAAAAUUUGUUUAUCAGAAGUGUUCCAAGAACAAGAAACAAAGUUUUUUUAGUUUCUAGUUUUUGUUCCAAAAUUUGUUCCCGGGAGCAAAAAAUAGAUUUGGAACAAAAACGCAAACAAACACGUUUCUAUUCAUUUUUUAACUAGAGGGCCGUUUGAGGAACUAAAGAAUCGACCAAUCAGGAUGAGUUCGAAGAGAAUAGCCUGGUUGUCUUCGACGAACUCAAGCGAUGCAGGCUUGAGGUCGUCCUCAAUGGUGCUAUAGUCGGACUUGGUGGACUCGACGGGCUUCUUGCAAUACUUGAUUGACAUUGAAGUACGAUUGCAAUCAGGGUUUUGCGAUCGCAAUCUGAGGAACCACUGUCACCACCAGGAAUGCACACCAAUAGGAGAGACAAGGACACAUUGUGGUCGACAAGGAAGAUCACCCUUGGGAGCUUCAGCAGUGAUCCAUUCGAGGUCAACGAGGCUGUGGCCGAUGAGUCACAGACGAUCAAGCACAUAUGCUCCCCCUCUUUAUUCACAAUUGUGGCUGAUGUUUUAUCCCAUAGUCUCUCCAAUGUUCUAUAAGAGGGAUGCCUUUAGGGAAUUAAGCUAAAAAGGAGGAUCCUAAACCCCCCUUCUCCUCACAUAUGACUCCCUAUUCUUUCUUGUUGCUAACCCAGUUUGAACUGCAGACGUUCAAAAAAGAUUCUUGACCAUAUGGUACUGCUCAAGCCAGAGGGUCGUGUUGCAAAAAUCCUGUAUAUGCUUCAGUCCUAACACUGGGGCAAAGUUGAGAACAAAGGUAAGCACAGUCCAGGGAAUCAAUGCUACUCAAGACCCUGGUAACCAUUUGGGUCUACCUAUUCUAUGGGGUAGCUCUAAACAUAAAGCUCUUGACAUUGUUAAGGAUAGUCUUUGAAAAGAAUGCCAAGCUGGAAAACUAAAUUAUUGUCACAAGCUGGUUGGGAGAUUGAGGUAAAACCAGUGGCUUAUGCAGUACCAACUUAUUUUGUUGUCGUGUUUCAAGUUUCCAAAGAUGUGGCAUGAGGACGUUUAUGCAGCUAUAGCCGAUUAUUGGAGGGGUCCGCAGAAUAAUGAAGGGAAAGUGCAUUGGAAGAGUAGGGAAAGCUUAACUGAAGCAAAGUUAGAAUGAGGCUUGGGUUUUAGUAGUUUAUCACAGUUCAACAUAACCCUCCUUGCUGAGCUUGCUUGGAGAAUCCAAAGCAACCCCUCAGAAUUCUGGGUGCAAAUAUUUCAAGGGCUCUACUUUCCCCUUUGUAGCUUCGUGGAAGUUAGAAGAGGUGGCAGAACGUCUUAGGGACGAAGUAGAGUUUUGGAGGGAGAGGUCUAAUUAAGGAAGGUGGGUUAUGAUAAAUUGCUGAUGGGAAGUCGGUCAAAGUUUGGGAGGAUAGGUUGGUGAAGGAGAGUUGAGACCUGAUGUUGCAUCCUCUAAUCUGACCCAGGUGAAAAAGUAAUUAAGACUGGAGUCUCUAAUUGGUGCAGAUACUAGGAUUUGGAACUUGACUCUCCUUAAGGACAGCAUACGGUAGGAGGAGCAAUGAUCGGUGUUGAGAAAUCACAUAAGGUGGAGAAGUUCUGAUGACCAACGAUUUGGCCCCGGAACGGGAGUGGUGGCUCUAUAGUAAAGUCUCUACCACUUUACCAUGCAAAAUAGAAAGAAACAUCUAAGCCUAGACCCUCAAGCUCUCCUACUAUUGAUGGUAUAGUUUGGAAAUUAGUAACAGGCAUUGACUCUCCUCCCAUGAUAGGAGACUUCCAUUGGCAACUUUGCUCGAAUGUUAUGCCUGCUGCUGCUAAUCUGUGCAAACAAAAAGAAUAAAGUUUCUCCUGCUUGUAUGUUCUGUUUUGAGAUUAUAUCUAUAGAGCAUUUAAUACUCAAUUGCUUUAAUUUGAAAAUCCAAAAAACGAAGUGAUUCAUAUAGGUAUUUUUAAAUGAAAAGUCAACGCAACUCAUUUCAAAUACAAAAUGGUGUUUCUAUACAAAGUUGUCUCCAAGUAAAAUUUAGAAGAAGAGAAAUAUUUCUCAAAGAAGAGUGGAUGGUAAGCGAGAUGGAAACUUUCCUGAUUUUCACCUUGAAGAGUGAUAAUCCGAUCAUUGACACCUCUCCUUUAUGGAUUGGCUUGUUUUCUAAUUUGAAGGUGCUCAUUUUCAAUGCCAGUAGAUUUCAUGGAGCCAUGAAAGAGCCCGAAGCUCAUUGCCAAUUUCCUACAUAUCUUCAGUAGGUCAUAUAGUAACUCUCAAUAUUCAUAGCAAUUUCUCUAGACUUUUCUAUACAAGUCAACUUACCUUUAUCAACUUAGUGGUGAGAAUACACAAGAUUUUAUGUCUUGGACAUAUUGCAUCCGUUGUGAGUGUUAGAUAGGCUAUGGUAUUAUUGAAUUGAUUUGUGCCAUUUGAUACACAAGUUUUCACUUGAGGUCUUCUCAUUCAUUUAAGAAAAUAUGACAUCAAAUUCGAUAAAUUUUGACCCCUCAAACAAAAAAAUUGAUCUUGCACGGUAUUGCUUUUGCAAUUCUUCACAUUUAAAUAUUAAAGACAUUUAAAUUUUGGGUAUAAAGUAUUCGCAUCAAACAAAGCAUAGAUCAACAUUUCUUUAAGAUUGGCUUGAUGGAUAGUCUAAUAUGCGAAAUAUGAGUCCCAACUCCCUUGAGGUUCCAAAAUCAAGCCUGCGCGAGCCUAGCCCUAAGCUAAUCAAACUCGGCCUAAAUGGAAAGGCAACGCGGUCAUUCAAGGACAACAAGGGAAAUUCAAAUCGGCCAACACCCAUCGUCGAGGGAGGGGCAUGUAAAGGUCACUAGUUUGGGAACUUUAUAAGAGUAGCUGUUGUCAAGAGCCACCCUCUUCAAAGGAAACUCAUUUUGUGAGGAAUACUCGCACAUUUGAUGGACAAGGAUCAAUUGGCAGCUGAUUGUUGUUUCCAAAAUACUUGACCAGAAUUCCCUGAACAAUUUAGUAACUGCGUGAUACUGUUUAUCCUGACAUUUCUUCAUAAUAUUCAACCACCAAAUCCAAGUACCUAACAAUACUGCGGAAGAGGAAGACCAAGUUUUCUCAUUUUCACACCUACAACAACCAAAGAUAGUUACAAUUAAUUUUUCUUGCACCAGAUCAAAAUGCAAGCUUCGAAUUCCCCUCUUUUAAAUUUAGAUUGCCAAUGUUAAUUAUAUUCCAAGCGACAAACCUUCCACGUAUUGGGAUUACAUGUAUCGCACAUUCGCAUGUUCACAUUCAUGGAUAAUGACCGGUAUCUACUCAUUCAUUUCAAUUUAAAGCAAAAAAAAAAAAAACUAUAACUACAAAACAAUAGCAUAACCGCAUAUUUUACUAGAUCAACAAUAAUUAUUUAGAGUCAAUAAACAAAUCGAAUAGUUUGAUGUAUAUCGAAUAUUUACAUGGUGUUGUCAACAUUUAGAUUUCUUUAAACACCUUUAAGAAGCUAUACAAACCCAUACUGAGUCUCACUGUAAAACACAAGUUAUAGUAUAAUAAUUACAUUGAGAUUGAUUUUCUCUAUCACAUAAAUGGAUUUUAUACAAUAUUAAUCCAAAAAUUCGCAAUGCAGCGAAGCAAAGCAAAGAUGAUGGAAGACCGACUUGCUUUCCCUCGCCAGUCUUUUCCUUUUGACUUUUUCAUUUGAGUAGCUUUUGUCGGUCUUUGCCUUGUCUCUGUCUUUGGUUGGGAGAAAAGAAUGGGAAAAUGCAAGGAAGCAAGCAAAGGUGAUAGAAGACUUUGACUUGCUUUCCCUCACCUCACGCCGGGAAGUAGAUUGCCUAACAACCAUGACUUGAGAGGUGCGUGCGUCCCAAGUAAUUAAUUUAAAUAUGAGUAUUCAUCGCCUCCUCUCCUGACCUAUGCGAUAAGUAACUUUGAAUUAGAAAAGGUAAUUUUCUGCCUGUCUAUGGUUAGUAAAUCUCAAUGUUGAUAGUCAUAGUUCAUUCAACAAAGUAAGUUUAUAUACCAACUUUUAACAUAGAAAAAGGUAACACAAUUUCAUAUGGUUAGUAACUCAUUAAUCUGACUUGUAAUAUAUAUACAUAAUUAGUUUUUCUUAUAUACAUUGAUGUAACUUUCCCCACAUCUGUGUGUCAGUAACUUUUCACAAGAUUGCAGUGAAAUUUUUGGAGAUGCAAGUGACAUCCAGGCUAGAGUUGAUGACUUUGCACUAAAUUUUGUUUUAAUCCAUUCGUGAUAAAAGCAUCAAUAAUACUAAGAUCAUUAAUUUACUACUCUCCAUCCAAUCAUUUUAGUAUAUCUACAUCCAAGCAAACGGAAAUCUAUUUUCCACCUUUUAAAUGGAAACAAGUAAAGUUAUUAUCGAGAUUUAUAUUUACUGAAAUCGCUGGUCCUUGAACUUUUAUUUGAAUGUGUCCAUGUCAUAUCUAAUCAAACAAUCGAUUCAAUUACAUCCUAAAAUAUUUGUCUAAUGUGCGCCUUGAUCUUAUCUCUUAAUUGAUUCUUUUCCUGACCUUUUUAAAAAUAUUCAAUAUCGUCUCAUUUUAGUAAUUAGAAGGACAAAUCCGUACAAUGUCCCCUUCUAGUCUUUUGCUCGUCAAGAACAAAUGGUUUGUUCUUUACUUUCUACAAGCUUUAGCUACUAAUGUUGAGCCGGUUCCUAACACUUCCAACAUGUGAGAAAUGGUAGUUAGACAUUAUUUAGUAGGAUACAUUUUCAGUUCCGAGGAUGAAGUUUUGGAAAGCUACCGAGAGGAACAAUAUAUUAGCCCAUACACUUCUAUGCUUUCAUCCGACUUAUCUUCUGUAUAAAAAAGCAAUAAAGUAAUUAUACAAAAAUAGUAUAAUUAGUAACUCAUUUUAUAUAUAAAAAAAAAAAUGCAUCUACCUAUUGGUAACUAGUAAUUUUUCUAUGCAAUAAAUAAUUAUGGAAUAAAAAAAAAGUAAUUUUCUGCCGAUUGUUAGUAAGUCGUACUGUUCAAAGUAAUUUCUCUAGACUUUCCUAUACACAUCAACUUAUGUUCAUUAUCUUAUUGGACUACAUAAGAUUUUCUAUAGUGGACACUUUACAUUUGGUGUGAGUGUUAUGCCACUGUUAAACUAGAUUGUACCAAUAUUUUUUUUUUUGGUCAGAAGAUUGUACCAAUUGACACCUAAAUUUUUGUUAGAAGACUUCCAUUCUUUUAAUAAGAAAAUUGGAGAUUGAAUUCGACAGAGUUUGACCCCUAAACAAAAAUGUUGAUCUUGCCUGGUCAUGCAUUCAUAAUUCUCACUUCGUUCUUCGCAUUUAGAUAUCAGGGACAUUUAAAUUUUGGGCAUGAAGUAUUCACAUCGAGCAAAGCAUGAUUCAAUCUGUGAGUUUUCUUGGGAGUGGCCCAAUAGAUGGCUCCAUAUGCAAAAGUAAUUACUGAACUCACUCGAGGUGCCAAAAUUAAGUCCGCUUGAGUCCAGUAACUCCAGCCCCUAAGCUGUAAUCGAACUUGGCUGAAUGGAGGGAAAGGAAGCGCGGCCAUUCAAGGGCAGCUAGUGAAAUUACAAUUGGCCAAUACAAUUUUCGAGGCCAAUUCCAGUCUGAACAUAUAAGAUGGAAGGUCUUGUUCAGUUGCUGCAUGCGUCCAAAUGGAAGAAAAGGCAAAGGAGAAUCAAAAGAAGGAAAGGGGCGUGUAGUUUCCAUCUUGACGAUGGGAGCAAUCUCGGCAUUCACAGACCUGAAUUCACAGCCAAAAAAAAAAAACCAAGAAAAUCUUGGCAUAGGAAAGCAGAGGAUUCUCGGCCAAGUGGUGCAGCGAUUUUCAGCAUUUGAUCAUUUCCAAAGAUAGCUUGAAAAGGAAAAGGGUGGUGCUUUUUCUGCACGGCCAAGAAAGAGAAACACGAAGAGAGGGUUUCGGUCAACAGAAGAGAGAAUACUAAAAGGAAAGAAAGAACAAAGAAGUGGUCGGCAAAAGAAAAGAAAUAUAAGAACAGAGAGCAAAAGGUUUCCCGUUUAAUUUCCUCGAAAUUCACUUUUCCUCUGCACUUCAAUAUCCAAGAAUUUUACUCCUUACAGUCAAAUUUCUCCAUCAUUUCAUUUUAAAGCCCGGCGCACCUUGCACUUGGAAAAAGCCAAAAAUGAAAUCAUUUUAGCACUGUUUUGAAGUUGAUCAAUUCUUGUUCAAGUUAGAACUGUAGUGUGAUAACAUAUUUUAUCUAAAGAAGGGGCCUGUAAAGGUGACCGAUUUGGGAACUUUUUAAGAGUCAUUGUUGUCAAGAGCCACCCUCUUUAAAGGAAACUCAUUUUAUGAAGAAUACUUAGCACAUUUGAUGGACAGGGAUUACUUAGCAUCUAACUGUCGUUUCCAAAAUACUUUAUCAGAGUUUCCUGAACAAUUUCGUGACUGCGUGAUAUUGUUUAUCCAGACUCUUCUUCAUAACAUUCAACCAUCAAAUUCGUUAAAAACAACUGAUUGUUCUUUCCUAUUUCCAAGUUUUAGGUACUCUUGUUGAUAUAGUUCCCGACACUUCUAACAUAUGAGAGAAAUGGUUGUUAUAUAUAAUUUUGUAGGUCACAUUUUCAGUUCCAAGGAUCCAGCUUUGGACAGUUAUCUAGAGGAACAUUAUAUUGGUCCAUACUCUACUAUGCUUUCAUGCAUUUUAAUUUUUGGUAUAAAAAAGCAAUAAAAUAAUUAUACAAAAUUAGUAUGAUUAGUAACUCCUUUUACACUGAAAAAGCAUCUAUCUAUCAGUAACAAAUAAUUUUUCCAUCCGCGAAAUUAUGAUAAAAUAAGAAAAAAUAAUUUUCUGCCUAUCUAUUGUUAAUAAUUCUCAAUGUUCAUAGUAAUUUCCCUAGACCGAGCUCGUGCUAGCCCGGUCCCAAGCAAUUCAAACUCGGCCUAAUGAAGGGAAAGGAAGCGCGGCCAUUCAAGAACAGGGACGAAAGUCCAAAUCAGCCCUCACUAGGGGUGAGCAUGGUCCGGGUUGGUCCGGGCCACCCCCUAACCCUAGGACCAACCCGUACAGUGUCGGUCCUCAAUUUUUAGGACCAAGGACCGACCCUAUUGAGCCUGGGACCAAGGACCGGACCGACCCAAUGGGUUCGGUCCGGUUCCAGGGUCAAUCCGGGACCGAUCGAUAAUUUUUUUCGUCUUAUUUUUUAUACUUCCUAAAAAAGCAAACCUAAAAAUUCAAAUUACGCAUCCAUGAUCCAUCAACAAUACGAUAUUGUGCAACUAAAUUAUAAAAUACCAAUACAUAUUUAGCAAAUUUAAGAUGACACAAUAAUAGAAAUUUCAUAUCCGCUAACCGCUCAUCGAGAUAUGGGACAAGAUGGAAAGUUCUUGUAAUCAUCUAUCUUUAAUAUUUAUAACACCAUAUGCAAAAGCGUUUUCCUGAUCAUGUAGAGUUUACUCAACCAAAAAAUGAGCUUUGCACCACUUGACUAGCAUUUGAUCAUGUAGAGUUUACUCAACCAAAAAAUGAGCUUCACACCACUUGACUAACAAAUCACCGUAGCAACUGCAGUACUACUCUACUCUUCAAAAACUUCUACCAUUUAACACAAAUUGAAAAGCAAUUAAAUCAUAAAAUUUUUAAAAUACUUAAUAUAAACCAUGAAUAUAUAACUUCACAUCUUGUUAAUUCACUUGAACUUCUAAACACUUGAAAACAAAACAAACGACACAUAAUUAAUACUUAACAAAAGUUUUAAAUUGAAAUUACUAUUAGUGCUAUUGAUAGAACAUCUCAAUAUAAUAUAAUAUAAUAGACAUUUUACUUAGGUUUGAAUAUAUAAAAGAAUUAUAAAUAAUAUAAUAUAAUAUACAGGGUUGGUCCAGGGUUGGACCGACCAAAAACUCUUAGGACCGAGGACUAACCCGCACAGUGUUGGUCCUGGAAUUUCAGGACCAAGGACCGACCCAGUCCCCUUGGGAACCGGACCAGGACCGGCAGGGUUGGGCCGGUCCAGGGUCGGUCCAGGGUCGACCCUAAACCGCUGCUCACCCCUAGCCCUCACCCAUUCUCAAAGCCAAUUCCAAUCUGAACACAUAAGAUGGAAGGUCUUGUUCAGCUGCACACGUCGAAAUUGGAAAGGAGAAUCAAAGACGGAAGGGAGCGUGCAGUUUCCCUUUCGACGAAAGGAGCAAUCUCGGCAAUUAGGGACCGGAAUUCACGGCCAAAAGAAGAGGAUUCUCGGCCAAGUGGGGAGGGAGAUUUUUCAGCAAUUAAUAAUUGUCAAAGAGAGCUCGAAAAAGAAAAGGGUGGAGCUUUUCUUCGUGGCCAAGAAAGAGAAAUACAGAGAGAGGAAAACUUUAAUAAAAAGAAGAGAAAAACAGGGAAGUGGUCAGCAAGCGAGAGGACUAAAAAGAAGAGGAAAACAGGGAAGUGGUCGGCAAAAGAAAACAGAGAUUUUGAAAAACAGAGGACGCAGAUUCUUGUGGAGGAUAUGCAAGCAAGAUUGAAAAGACGGAGAGAGAGAGAGGGCUGUCGGGGCACGCGUGAGGAAGUGACAGAGAGCAAAUGGUGCAAUUUCACCAUAAGUCAGUUUAAUUUACUUUCGAGGCAUCUAAAUUUCCUAAAAGUUACACUUUUUCUUUGCACUUUAAUUUCCAAGAAUUUUACUCCUCAUAGUUAAAUUUCUCCACCAUUUCAUCUCAAAGCCUAGAGCACCUUUCACUUGGAAAAAGCCAAAAAUGAAAUCAUGUUUAGCAUUGUUUUGAAAUUGAAUAAUUAUUGCAAAGUGCAUUUGCCAUCAUCUAAAGAAAUACUUUUGUUAAGGGAAUUUUUCCCGAAUAAAAAUAUACAAUUUUCCUCUAUUCUGACUAAAGGGCGGGUAAGAGUGUUCAGCUCUAAAGACCUUCACUGUAUCUUAUCAUAAAAGGUUCCCACAUCCCUAUAAAGUAUGCGGAUUGAACUGUAAUUGUUUCAGAGUUUUUCAACUUAGCUUCACCGAGAGAGAGAUGUUAUGGUGGAGAAGAGAAAAAAAUUUCAAAUAAUAGUUGCAUCACGAGAUAGUAAAAUGUAGUAUAAUAAACUUAUUAAUAUUGAGUAUUUUCAAUUUUCAAGCGCCAAAUUAAAAGAACAUGUAUAUUGCAUUCGGGCCAAUUACUUCACAUAUGACUGACACAUAAAAUACAUUUCCUUAGUAAAAGGGUAAUUUGGUCUUUUAAUUGAGGAUUUUUCUCUAAAGAUGUACAUUCUACAUAUAUCAAAAGCUGAGGAGCGUACAUGAUAUGGGAGUACUUUUGAAAUUUUCUUUAAUAUGAUCAAAGUAAAUAAAAACUCAAAAACCAUCUUUAUGCUCUAUCUUGGUUUCACUUUAUAUCCUCCAUCUCUAAAGUCAUGAAUCUAUGAAUUUGUUCUGUCACUUUCGUUAGUUGUCAGGUUUCAGAUUUUAAAUUCGUCAUUAAAUGAAUGGGACCCGGAAGUUUCGAGGAUGCCAACCCAUUGAUUGAUUCAUGGAAACUUUUAGGAAACUUCUCGGAUACUUCUCGAAUGACUCAAGUUGUUGACUAUUUUUGACUCGAGAAAAAAUUUGAAGUCAAGUCCCUUUUCCCCACGCCAGAGACUGAUAGAGCUUGUAAUACCGACAACCCUCGCUUAGAUCCAAGCACACCCAAAGCAAACUACACUGAGAGGAAGAAAGCAUUUGAUAUCGCUCAGAUCCAAGCACACCCAAAGCAAACUUCACUAAGAGGAAGAAAGCAUUUGAUAUCCGUGGCAUUUAGAGAUCCUACAAUGGAGAAAGGGACGAGUUCACAGGUGUCAUCUAGAUCUUCAUAUGAGGUUUUUCUAAGUUUUCGAGGAUUAGAUACCCGUCAUACAUUCACCGAUUUUCUUUAUCGUGACAUGGAUGAAGCUGGAAUCUGCGUCUUUAGGGACAAUGAAUCCCUCCAUGUCGGUGAAAAAAUUGGUAAGCUUUUACAUGCAAUUGAGAACUCUAAGAUCUACAUUCCCAUAUUCUCCACAAAUUAUGCUUCGAGUGACUGGUGUCUUCGAGAGCUUGCACAUAUGGUCAAAUGCACCUCAAAAUUGAAUGGGAACAAAGAGAUUCUACCCAUUUUCUUGGAUGUGGAACCUUCUGAUGUCAAGUUGAAAACAAAAUUGUAUCGACAAGCUCUUUCAAAGCGCCAAAAGACGUGCAGUGAAGUAGAGUCAUGGGAAAAGGCUCUCAUUGAGGUGGGCAAGAUAAUCGGAUGGAACUGGAAGAAAGAUGAAAGGUGAAUGUCUACAAUUUUUUAAACUAUCAUAUGUGGAUUUCCUUUUCCUCCAUAUUGAGUUUAAUUGCAGUAUUGCUGGUGAAAAAAUAGUUUAUUCAACUUUAGUAUCUCAUUCUUUUCAUUUUUUCUCCCAAUUUCUAAAUUUCUUUUCUUUUUCAUGAUAAUUAAGGAUAAAAGAGAUUUUUUUUUCAAAUAUUGAGACAGAAUUAUAUCACGUAAAAAUCACAUGCCUUGCACAUGCCGACGACAAAAUUGAUACACAGUUAAUGGUCGUGUAACAAACUGAAAGUGCAGGAAAUAUUGCGAAACAGUUGAAGGUUCGGCUGUGUACUACCCGAAAUUUAAGAUGAUUUUGUGUAUUACCUCUGCUUUCUUUCAACCUCAUUUAUAUGGCAUUUGCAUUUUUUUUUAUCCUGGAUUUCAUAAGCAUUUAAGAAAAAUAUAGGAGUAUACAACCGUAUGGCCAUUCGGCAUUCGCGUAGCGCGAGUCUAAGGGGCCAGUUAAUUUUUAACGAAUAGAAGAAUGCAACUUCUCUUUGUUUUUUUUUUUAAACGUUUACUUAAAAGGUGAAAAGCUGUGUUCUUUCGUGAACCUAGCUGCUCUACCAAGCCGCUGGCCAGCCACCGCAGCAGCUCUCCCUCAACCGUCACUUCUUCCUUGCCAGCCCGACAACAAGCCGCCAUCGAGCCAUCCGGCCCCCCACCCUUUCUUUCUCUCAUUCACUGGGAAGUCGGAUAUGGGCUCGGGAUGUCGGGCCCGAUGUCACCGAGCCCAUAUUUGGCAUUGCCGACCUUGGGUGACCUCAAAUUUGGCGCCGCCAAAGGCCGGUAAAGCAUCCUUGGCGGUUGCAAGGCCACAGGAUCCAUGUGACUUGAAGGAUUGAGGCAAGGCCGAGAUGGGCGGGUCGAUGGGGCGGGAUGGGCAACCCCGUUGGAACACAAUGGUGACGACCUGGGGAGGUGAGCGACGUCAAUGGCGGUGUGGUGGUGGCAGCGGUCGACAGUGAUGGUGACUAAAAUUGGGGGAGCGGAGACGGAUUGGAAAAAAUCCAGAUUAUUUUGCCGUCUAGAUUAUGUUGCAUAAUUUUUGCAAAUUGUAGGAGCAAUUGAGUCCUUGAGGGAGCAGUUUUGCAAUAUAAAAUAUAUCCUAACAUGGUUGUUACCUUGUUGCAGCCAAGCGGAUCUGAUAAAACUUGUGACUGAAACUGUGUUGCGUAAGCUGAAUGUCGGAAAUAAAAAGAUUGUGACUGAAAAUCUAGUUGGAGUUGAUGAUCGUGUAGAAGCUAUAAUAAAAAAGUUGGAUGUGGGAUCGGAUAGCGUACAAUUUCUUGGAAUCCAUGGAAUGGGCGGGAUUGGCAAAACAACACUUGCCAAGGUCAUCUUCAACCAACUGUCUUCUCACUUCGAAUACUGCCAUUUCCUUUCGGAUGUCCGAGAAACGUCACGAUGCGAUGUCCGAGAGAUGUCACGAUGCAAUGGUCUGGUAAAUUUGCAAAAACAGUUGCUAUCCAAGUUCCUUGAUUCUCCUUCCAUCCUCAACCAAAUUCAUGACACGGAUCAUGGGGCCAUAAUGAUUGAGAAAGUAUUUCGCAAUAAAAAAGUACUCAUUGUUCUUGACGAUGUGGAUGAGGAAAAGCAACUCAAAAGUCUAGCAAAGAAAGUUGAUUGGUUCGGUUCCGGUAGUAGGAUUAUCAUAACUACUAGGUACCAAAGUGUCCUAAGCAUUCGAGUAGAAGCAACAGGUGAAGCCCCUACACAUAUUUUGGCUCAUGAAGUAUUCGAAAUGGAAUGUGAUCAUGCUCUUAAGCUUUUCAGCAAACAUGCCUUUAGAAGAGACUCUCCUCUAGAUCAUUAUAUCCCCCUUUCCCAAAAAAUUAUCCAUACUUUGGGAAAUCUUCCUUUAGCCCUUGAGAUUAUAGGCUCAUUUCUUAGUGGUAAAUCCAUAGAAAUAUGGGGAGACACAUUGAAUAAGCUAAAAGAAGCUCCUCCUAAGGAAGUCCAAGAAACAUUGAUGAUAACUUAUGAAAGGUUAGAUGAUGCCCAAAGGCAAGUAUUUUUGGAUAUAGCUUGUUUUUUCGCUAAUAAGAAAAAAACAUACCCUCCCUACAUGUGGGAUGCUUGUGUAUACUACCCACACAAUGCCCUUGAAGUCCUCUCUCUCAUGUUCUUGAUAAAAAUCAAGGAUGACAAUACUUUCUGGAUGCAUGACCAAGUGCGGGACCUCGGAAGGGAAAUCGUUCGUAAAGAGAAUGUUGAUGAUCCGCGUGAGCGUAGCAGAGUGCAUGAUCCUGAGGUAGCGCUAAACAUUUUGAAGCGGAAAGAGGUAUGAAAGGGGAACAUCAAUUUAUUUUCUUGUGAAAUGUUGUAAAUAUUCUUGUAAAAAGAAAAAUUAAUCGCUAUUAACAAUUUGAAUUGUUUGCUUUUGACCUUCACCAUGUGGACUCCUUUGUGUUUCCAUUGUCAGGGGAGUAGGAAAAUUAAAGCACUGUCACUUGGAUUUCUCGAAGACACUUUUCUAGAGUUUGGAGAACUUAGAGGAUUUGAAGCACCGCCAAUUAGAUUUCAUGAAGACAUAAUUUUAAAGCAUGACGAAUUUGCUUAUUUAGAGAAGCUGAGGUUCUUUGAAGGAUAUCGGGCGUCCUUUGUUGGAGACUUCAAUAAUCUUCUUUCCGAUUUAAAAUGGUUUUCUUGCCGUGAUUGCUUAUCCAUGUUGGAGGCAAAAAACUUUCAUCCGACUAAUUUAGUCGUUCUUGACCUUUCAUGGAGCGACAUUUCGGAAAAAGAUAUUGAUUGGAUCAAAGUACGAUACAAACCCCACUCCUUGUAUUCAUAAAUCGUUUCUUUUCAUUUUUUUUUUUUGGUUGGUGGUUUCUCAAUAAAUAUUUUAUCAAAUUGUUUUGCAGGAAGCAAGGAAAUUAAAAGUCCUAGAUCUCACCUACUGCACUAAAUUAAGGAGAACACCCGAUUUAUCUACAUUGGUGUCUUUGGAGAUUUUGAUAUUAUCAAAUUGUAUAAUUUUGGAAAGUGUCGAUUGGAUCAAAGUAUGAUACAAGUCUCACUCCUUGUAUCCAUAAAUCAUUUCUUUUUAUAUUUUUUAUAGGUCAUUUCUCAAUAAAUAUUAUUGUUUUGCAGGCAGCAAGGAAACUAAAAGUCCUAGAUCUUAGCUACUGCCAUCGCUUAAGUAAAACACUUGAUUUAUCUACAUUGGUGUCUUUGGAGAUUUUGAGAUUAAAUCAUUGUCAACUUUUGGAAAGUAUCGAUUGGAUCGAAGUACGAUACGAGUCUCACUCCUUGUAUUCAUAAAUCAUUUCUUUUUAUAUUUUUUUGUAGGUCAUUUCUCAAUAAAUAUUUUUGUUUUGCAGGCGGCAAGGAAACUAAAAGUCUUAGAUCUCAGCAAUUGCUAUAACUUAAGGAGAUUGCCCGAUUUAUCUACGUUGGUGUCUUUGGAGAUUUUGGGAUUACGUUAUUGUUCAAAGAUAAAGAAACUUCCAGACUCAAUUGGGAAAUUACAAUCAUUAAUCAAGUUGGAUUUGUUAGGAACGAAUAUUGAUCACCUACCGGAUUCAUUCAGCAAUCUAAAGCAACUGACAACACUUAAGAUGAGGGAUAUUAAGGGAGGGUUGACAAAAUUACCUAGUGCGAUCUGGAUGGUUCAGUUACUGGCUUAUGGUACUGAGUUCAUCAGAAGUGAGCUGUACUGUUUGAAAAUGCCAGACUCAUGUAGCCAAAUAAUCGGAUUACCUACCUUGGCGAGUCUCGUCUCUAAUAUCCAUAAACUUGAGAUAGCCGCACGGGAUGGCAGACGGUUUUGGGAUACAACGUGGGGCCCCCUUGGUAAGCUGGAGAAUGUCAUUGCUUUUCUCUAUAGACUCGGUUGUACCGAAUCUUCGCCGGAAAAACGAAUAUUGGCCUCCCCAAACAUGCGGUUCUUCCUCCAGCUCCCGUCUAGUUUAAGAGAGUCAGUAUUUCGAGAACUGGCGACCUCACUUUUGCCAUAUUCAUAUUCUCUUUGUUGGUGGAUGCCGAUAUUCGUUGGUAUAUGUGAUUCGGAGUUGGAGAAACGCCAUUUGCAGGAUUGCACUCUUACGAGACGGCUCGAACUGUUUGAGUGGAAUAUGAGAGAAAAAAUGAAAGAAAUGGAAGACCGUGAUUGUAGUUCUUAAUUGUGUCAAAUGUACAAGUAUGCAGUUGUAUUCACGAUGGAGUCCAUCGCCGCCACUGCUGCAACCAAACCCUUCUUCUCCGAUCUCUCCCCUCGCCUCCGCCGCGCGACCGCCAUGUCGCAGCCGCAUUCGAUUCCCCCAAACGCCCCCGAAUCUCCGACCACAUACCCCGCGCCGCUCUCUCCUCCGUUGCCGCCCUUAUCGAAGCAGGUGGAGCUGGCCAGAGCCAUGUCCGCUUCCUCCAGAUCGGGCGCCUUCUCUCUCUCCCGGAGCCACGUGGUCUACGAGGACGAGUGGCCCCUUGCCGUCAACAAGCCCCCCGGAGUUUACUGCGAGAGCGUCCUGGCCUCGGCCCCUCGCGUCGUCCCCGGCGAUUCCGGCGAUUCGGGUAGGUUACCGAUGGGGCGAUUUGCGUCCCGUCUCGUAUCUGUGCAGAUUGAUAAUUUUGCUGCUUUUUUGUUUAGCUUCACGCUGUGGUUGAAAUUGUACUUAACCUGCCUGUUCUUGGAUUUCAAAUGCGAGUUACGCGAAAUCCAUUUGCGGGAAUGUGUAGUUGGGAAAUCCGUAGUGCGAAAUUGAAGUUCGAUUCUAUGCUUUAGUUUAGGAAAAGGAAAUGCGAAGCUGGAAAAUUUGCGAUCUUUUUAUUUCGGUUCAGUUUGAUGGCAAAAAAGCAGUUCAUAUGAUUUCUUGUGCUUUAUUUGGGAAGAUAGUAGCAAUGUGUUUCCUUAGGCUUAAUUCUGCUACAAUUUGAUGUGGAUGUUUUGAAAUGGGAUUAGAGAAUCCUACUCCGAAGGGUUAAAAUUGUUGCUGUUUCGGGUGUGGUGAUGCUUGAGUGAAUUUUCAGCUCUAGAUCAUAGUGAUGUCGCUUGUCCUAUGUUUAUUAGCUUUAGUAGAAGGCUAGAUUUGAAUCCAGUUUGUGGGUUUAGCUUAUUUUUAUUCAGUUCCGGCCAAUCUUGAAGAGAUAAUUUGAGCAGAUUUGAGGCUGAUUCGAUCCGUGUAUAUCUCAUUUUAAGGAUGUUCUUGUCAUAGAAAAUGAUCACUCCUUGAAACCUGUCUGACUGUGCAGCUUAGCUUUGUUAAUCUAAGUUCUUUGAAAUGGUUAUCGUUGUAUGAUAUGUGCUCAACCUACUUAAUUGAUAAAUGUGGUUAAGAUGGAGUCAAAUUUAUCUUUAUUUCUCAUGGUUUGAAUACUUAGGAUGCACCUACAUUGUCAAUACUAGAACAAGUUUUGUCAGAAUUCCUGGCAAUUGCAUCGUGAAUUCAAUCAAAUGAGUGAACAGAAUCCAACAUUGACAGCUUACUGUUUUCUGCUGUUAGGGUGCACUGAAGCUGUGCCUGAGCUCCACCUUGCUAAUCGACUUGACAUAAGGUGAGAAAAACAUACAUAGCUCUCUGUGUUGGAUUAGCACCGAAGUGGGAAACUAUAACCAUUCGAUCAGGCCAUGGUCGGUCAAAGUUUGGAGGGUCUAUGCAGCACCAGAUGUGGGACGGACACUGCCAGGUGGGUCUUUGGUCAGGGACAUGGAAACAUCAUUUGAGGUAUUGUCUGUAAAUGGUCAAUUGAAGUCCAAGCAACCAGUUAAGCAGGGAAAAGAUGAUGACAAUAUCGUGGUAGUUGAAGAGAAAUCUUCUAUCAAGGAUAAUGGAACGAAAGAUGUAGUUUUGGUGAGAGCAUAUCCUCGGAGUGUUAGGACGCAUCAAAUCCGCUUGCAUUGCCAGUAUCUUGGGAUUCCCAUAAGAGGUGAUGUGAAGUACGAGGGUGUGUAUGAGUGGGAAGGGCAAAUAAAUGACUACCACACUCUUCAUGCCGAGAGCUUGUCCUUUGAGCACCCAGUAACCGGUGUGCACCUGAUGUUUCGAGCACCUUUACCUGCGUGGGUUGCUGAGUGCUGCCCUAAUGAGAUCCCACCUGCUUUUUCUUCAAAUGAAAAUCAUGCUAGAUGAGGCUAUAAACGCUUCAUUGGAGGCUGAUGAAUUUGCUAAUUUAGAAAAGCUGAGGCUCUUUCUAGGCAAUUGUGUGUCCUUUAUUGGAGACUUCAAUAAUCUUCUGUCCGAUUUAAGAAUGCUUUCUUUUUAUGAAAGGAGAUGGGCUUUUACAUAUGGUGGUCCUUCCAUGUUUCAAGCAAAAAACUUUCAUCCAACUAAUUUAGUCGUUCUUCACAUUUCAAGUAGCAGCAUUACGGAAGAAAGUAUUGAUUUGAUCAAAGUACGAUACGAGUCCCACUCCUUGUAUUAAUAAAUCAUUUCUUUUCAUUUUUUCUUGCAGUUCGUUUCUCAAUGGAUAUUUUAUCAAAUUGUUUUGCAGGCGGCAAGGAAACUAAAAGUCCUAGAUCUCAACCGUUGCAUAAACUUAAGGAGAACACCUGAUUUAUCUACGUUGGUGUCUUUGGAGAUUUUGGGAAUAACACAUUGUAUGAAAUUGGAAAGUAUCGAUUGGAUCAAAGUAUGAUACGAGUCUCACUCCUUGUAUCCAUAAAUCAUUUCUUUUUAUAUUUUUUUAUAGGUCAUUUCUCAAUAAAUAUUAUUGUUUUGCAGGCGGCAAGGAAACUAAAAGUCUUAGAUCUUAGCCGCUGCAAUUACUUAAGGAGAGUGCCCGGUUUAUCUACGUUGGUGUCUUUGGAGAUUUUGAGAUUACGUAAUUGUUGGAGGAUAAAGAAACUUCUAGACUCGAUUGGGAAAUUACAAUCAUUAAUCGAGUUGAAUUUGCUAGAAACAAAUAUUGAUCACCUACCAGAUUCAUUCAGCAAUCUAAAGCAACUGACAACACUUAGGAUGAGGGACAUUAAGGGAGGGUUGACAAAAUUACCUAGUGCGAUCUGGUUUGUUCAGUUUGUGGCUCAUCGGGAUGAGUUCAUCACAAGUGAGCUGUACUGUUUGAAAAUGCCAGACUUGUCAUGGACCUAAAUAAUCGGAUUACCUACCGUGGCGAGUCUCGUCUCUAAUAUCCAUAAAAUUGAGAUAGCCGCACGGGAUAGCAGACGGUUUUGGGAUCCAACGUGGGACCCCCUUGGUGAGCUGGAGAAUGUCUUUGCUUUUCCCUAUGGAUCCAGUCAUACCCAAUCUAAGGUGGAAAAACGAAUAUUGGCCUCCCCAAACAUGCGGUUCCUCCUCCAGCUCCCGUCUAGUUUAAGAGACUCAAUAUUUCGAGAACUGGCGACCUCACCUUUUCUAUUAUUUUGUUCAACUUGUUGGUGGAUGCCGAUAUUCUUUGGUAUAUGUGAUUCGGAGUUGGAGAAACUCCUUCUGCAGGAUUACACACUUUCAAGACGGCUCGAACGGUUUCGGCUGAGAAAGAGGAGAUUCUUGUCCAAAUACCGUCCGAGGAUUCGUCAAUGGCGGCAUCACCCCACAAAAGCACUUGAGCCGUCGCAUAUGAAUAAUCUGCAAGAGGUAGAUCUGUUCGAAUGCAAGCUACUAGUCGAGAUUCGCGGCCUCGAAGAAUUGGGAUCCCUUUCACCCCUUGCGGUCGCAUAUUGUAGGUCAAUCGAAAGGAUGCCAGACCUAUCGAAAUCGAGGAAGCUAAGGGAGCUUCGAGUAGGAAAAUGUCCGAAGCUAAGAAGCAUGGAAGGUUUGGACCGCUUGGAAUCUCUAAAGUGUUUGCGGAUUCACGAUUGCAGGUCGUUGGAGAGUUUGGUGGACACCUUGAAUUUGAAUUUAGAAUGUUGCCUGAUUGUCCGUUGCAAGCGGUUGCCCGACCGUCGCAAUUAUUGUAAACGUGGCCAGGGUUGCUAUUGUGAGAUGCUUUUCAAGGGGUUAUGGAAAUCUGACCCGAUGGAAGUCCAGCAAGUAUUACAGGGACACCCGGAUGUUGCGCCAGUAAGGAAUUUAGAACAUGGCUUGGUUGUUGUGCUUGGUGUAGCCAUUUUGUUUGUUUUGUUGUUGUUCUGCUUUUUUGUUCUAUGAAAAAGGCUUUCUACCGGACAAAUAUUGGUGAUAAAGCUAAGGAAGUGAACAAGGCACGCUCGUAUGAUGCCAAAACAGUGUCCAAUUUUGAUCAGCUUUUGAACAUAGUACUCAGUUCAUUGAUUGCUGUCCAAGAUUUCCAUGCUAUUCCUCCAUUUGUCUUUGUUAUAUAUGAGUUUCAACUCAAACGAGUGUGGUCGAACCCUAUUUUUCUCCCGCUUGUUUUGUUCGCAACGGAGAAACUGAACACGAAACGUGAGUCUCGCACCGAGAGAUGGGGAAGGGCUAGAGAGAUAGAGAGAGAGAGAGUGGAUGGUCGGAGUUUCUCUCAGACAUUAGAGAGAGAGAGAGAGAGAGAGAGGGGGGGGGGGGAUUUGUCUGCGUCGCGUGGUGACUAUCUGAUAAAGGGGGGGGGGGGGGGGGGGGAAAUUUGCAGUUGUUUUAGGGUAAAGAGGGUUGGGGGGGGCGAAUUCUAAACAGGCAAACCAAAUUUACAACCCCUUUUUUUCAAAAAUUUUGGGGGGGGGGGGUGGGGUUUUGGGAAAUAAAUUUUAAAAAGGGGGCCCCCAAAAAGGGGGCCCCCAGCCCCCAUUUUCCUUUAAAAUAAAAACCCCCCCUUCUUUUUUUUGUACUAACCCCAAUUGANNNNNNNNNNNNNNNNNNNNNNNNNNNNNNNNNNNNNNNNNNNNNNNNNNNNNNNNNNNNNNNNNNNNNNNNNNNNNNNNNNNNNNNNNNNNNNNNNNNNGAUCUUUAAACAGACUUAUAGACUGACACAGUUUCCUCUGUUACGUGCAGUGAACGUAGAAGCACCACCCUACAUUUUGAGCGAUGAAGAAUGGCGUUUCGAUGAGAUAUCCAAAGACGGCACUCUACGCAAGUGUGUGACAUUGAAAGGGAAUCAACACUGUUGCAGAAAAAAGAAUAAUGGAAGCACAAGCAGUUUGCAACUGCAUUUUGUUACCAAAUUACUGGCAACCAUCUUCACUAGUAGUCAGAUAAGCACCGAGGAUGGUACUCCUCUGAGGAUCGAACUAGUAGAUGGCAGGACCAAUGAGAGGGUUAUGAGUGGCCCUCUAUCUUCCAUAAAGCUCAAAAUUGUCAUCCUUGAUAGCGAUUUCGAGUCAGAAGAGGGAGAGGAUUGGACCGAGAAUGAAUUCAAUAACAAUAUCGUUUGCGAAAGGGAAGGGAGAAGGCCAUUGAUAACCGGGGAGCCAACUGUGAUCAUGCAAGGGGGAAUUGUUUGCCUCCGUAAUUUAAUCGUCACUGACAGCUCGAGCUGGAUGAGAAGUCGGGAAAUGAGCUCAAGCUGUGCAAAAGGUUUCUGCAGAAAUAAGAAUAAGUGAAGUGAGAAGUGAAACUUUCAUUGUUAAAUAUCAUCGAGGAGAGUGUAAGUUUGCAAUGCCUAUCAUUUUAUGAUAACAAUUUAAUUCCAACCAUCAACUCUGUAUGUGGACCAUAGAAAGACUGACUGACAAGUUUUCUCUGUUAUGUGCAGUGAACAAGAAGCACUAUCCACAAUCACUGAGCAACAAAGUAUGGCGUUUCUUUACCAAAAAAAAAAAAGUAUGGCGUUUGCAAAAAAAUAGCCAAAGACAGUGCUCUGCACAAGUGCAUGACUUCGAGAGGAAUCAACAUUGUUCAAGAUUUCCUCCAGCUGUACGAAGUGGAUGUACCUUUCUAAGAAACAAAGUGAUUCUUACUCUUCGAGCACUGCUAAUUUCCCUUUUUUCUAGUUCACGUUAUUCUAAGCAUUGUUCAAUAUCAAAUCGUGCUACUUCUUUUGUGUGUGAUGUUAUAUCAGGUACUUGGAAAUGAAAUCAUCAAGCAGACAUGGGAGAUGAUCGUCAGACACGCCAGCCCAUGUGAUCAACGAUAACAUGUAUUUCUACCAAGUUUUGAACAAGGCCAGGCCAGUAUAGUGUUCAAUUCGGUCAUGAAAGUUGCUCAAGCAACACCCGAUGGCCAAAUUUACCAGUCGGUAGACAUAUUGGCCCACUCUCAAAAGGUACAUAAAUCAUAAACCGAAACAUCUCUAUCUAGUAGCUGAGUGUGAAUCUAUCUGGACCUAUAGAAAGGGCCUGUAUUUAUCGGAUUAGUCUGCUUCCAUGGCAGACUAUAUACUGCAAGCACUUCUCCUAAAAAAGUACCCGUUUGAUUUUGGACUUGAUUGAACCCGCUGCUCGGUUGACAGAUUUUGUUGCAGAACUUGAAAUGGCUAGCUUACAAUAACAACAAUCAAUGGUGGCGCUCGAUGCCCUGCCCAGCGUCUCUCUUCUGAGAGCCCCAACUAAUUUGCCUACAGAGCCGUCAAUUGGCCUGAGCCUGCCUCUUCAUCAUCUAUUUUACACAGAGCUAAACCAAGGUAUAGUGGUAUUACAUCACUUCCAUCUAUCUUUUCCUUUUUGGCCUCCUUAAUCUUUCACAGUUCAGUGUUCCCAUUUCUUUAUUGGCACAUCCACCUUUUUGCACGUCUAUGGUAGCUGAAACUGAAAUGCAUCAUUAUUCAGAUAGACCAGAAGUGACUCCUGAAUUUAGUUACUCACUGGUUUCAGCAUCGUGCUGCUACAAUGUCACAGAGAUCAGGCAAUUAGGUUGUCUGGGGCCACAGUCAUAUCACUGCAAAAAUCUUUGAUCCGACUGUAAUUCAACGGCUUGGCAAGGGAGGACUUUUUGUCCAGUUUGAGUGCUGGCGAAAGCAGUCAUCUUCCUGGUUACACACGAUCGUUUGCGCCGAACAUCCAUUUGUCUCCUGACGAGCUUUUCCAAGUGCCAUCUUCAAUCCCUCGCAAUUUAAUGUGGCACCGGAGCAUACUUCCAUCAUUGAGUCGAGCAGCAGGGCAGAUUUUGGGAUCUGCCCAUCUCGCAUGGGUUAUGGAGUCCAUAAUUCUAGGAUUGCAAGACCCAAGGUGGCAUGGUACAAGAUCCGUGAUGUGAUGAAGUGGGGAUUGGUUUGGCGCGUUGUGGCUGCAAAGAGAAGAGCAAUGUUCAAUUGUGCAAGUUAUCCAGCUGUAUAAAUGGAGAGUCCCAUCCCCCAAAAGAGUUUUCGGUGCUUCAGGAGCGCGAAGCUCUCGCCCACACAAGCCAGUCAUCACAUGCGAAGUAUAAAAAAGAAGGAAAUUCAUGAUACUUGAUGCGAGGAGAAUGUCUUGGGGGUAUGAGAAUGUCUAGUUCUAGGGGUAAGCUGCCCAGGAUGCAUCAGCAACUUAUAUUAUGCAUGAUCACUGCGAUUUUCUCUAUUGUUUUUUUGUUGAUUGUCCUUUCAUAUUUGAAUGAAGUUGUGCACCAUCAAGAUGGGGCUGCCGAUCGAACAUUCUUCUCCCUAUGGGUCACGCAAGCUGAUCUUAGGAAGUACCUCAAUACAGGGGUUCUUCCUCAAGAAUUUUAAGGCUUUUGCUCUCUUCUUCAAGAAUUGUUUGGCAUUCUCUUUGUCCCAAGUACAUCAUCCCUUGAUUUGUCAGUUUACUGUUCUGAUAUGCUUAGUAGACUUUUCUUUGCUUUACAAAAUUUGUGAGUAUAUUACUUAGUUUGCGAGAUCCAAAGUUUCUCCUGUCAGCUUUGCUCUUUUUGAUCUGAAAUAUUAUAUGGUAACCAUUAGUCACAAAGCCCACAAUCUUGACGGUAUAUAGAAAAGGUUCUUCUAUCGCCAAUGUGGGACCUUGUUUUCCACGUAACAUUCCACCGAGUUUCUGUAGGCUUGGAUCUAAGACCGCUUCGAGACUAUUCCAGAGAAUAUUUCUGGGCGAGAAAAGAGAUGAAUUUUUCUCUUUCUAAAUUGUGCAGUUUUGCUUUCAUCUGCGAAAAAUUGAAAUGGAAACAAUUCAUCUUCAUCAUUGAAAAUAUGUAAGACGUGCAAAGUUUCCCAUUUGAUCAAUGAGAAGUGCUUAUUUGAUUGUGAUAGUGAGUUCUAACGGAAGAAAUAGGAAGAGAACCAAAAAGGUAUCCUUGGGCAAAAAGUAAGAUCCGAAUACGAACUCGUAUAGAAAAGAGCAUAUCGGCAAUCUAGGACGUUACACAUGAUUUACCACGUACCUAAAAUUGUCGAUGGUGUUAAGCAUGUUUUAGUUCCUAAAUCUGUCAUAGAUAACAGCACUGAAAAAUGGAAUUCUUCUCUUGUAGGGCAAGGUCUUGGCAAGAAAGAGUAUUGGAUUUAUUUCUGCUACGGUGAAUAUGCUGUGGGGACAAGAGGAGAUUGAGAACGGAAUGUUCCUUAUGAACUUUUCCUCUUCCAGAACAUUGCGCACUAUCUUCUUGUGCUAAGAAAAUGGAAGCUUGAACUGCAAAGUUAGGAGGUCUCUGAUGUGAAAACUGUUGUCUAGGCUAAGCUACAGAGCGUUCCUCUGUAUCUUCUGACAUUGGAGGGAGGUCUUGACGGCUUUUUCAAGGGUGAGAAAGGACUAAGGCAGGUCGAUCCUUUAUUGCAUUUUUUGUUAUGGUGAUGGAGGUUUUUCCAGAACUGUUCAAUAAUUCUGCAUGUCAUGGCAAAUUAAAAUACCGUUCUCAGUGCUCUAAGGGGAAACUUGCUGACGAUUUGAUGAUAUUUUCCAAAGGGGAUAUGGAUUCUUGAAUGAAACUAUUGGCCUUGCUUCAGAGACUUAAGCACACGUCAGGUCUUAGUAUUAAUCCCCUUAAGACGGAGAUAUAUAUAUAUAUAUAUAUUUAUAUAUAUCUAGCUGGUAUUAAGCGGCAGCUAGUGAUUGAUAUACAUCUCUUGGUGGCUUUAAAAAGGGCCAAUUGCCAGUUAGUACCUUGGCCUUCCUCUGAUUUCGGGAACAUGAGUGAUGACAGUGUAAAACUUUGCUGGACAAGAUUACUCUUCGAAUGAGGUCUUGGACAAUUAGGCAUCUCUGUCUCGCUGAAAGAUUGCAACUCAUUAAGGAAGUAGCAGCUUGGUGAAUUUUUGGAGUCAAAUUUCUUUGUUGCCAAAAAGGUUAUCAAUAUGAUGGAAAGCAAGUGUAACCCUUUUGGAAGGGAGAAUCUGAAAACGCUCGAGGUUCAAAAGUUGCUUGGAUGAUGCAUGUCUCCCCAGGUUUAAGGGUGGUUCAGGAUUGAGGAAACUAGGGCCAUGAAAUCUUGCUUGUCUAUUGAAGAACUCAAGGAGAUUUUGUUGCAGGUUGGAUCCAUUCGGGUGGCCUGGCUUAGCCGUUUCUUGCUUAAAGGGCAGUCUAUUUGGGCAGUGAAUCCAACUGGCGAGAGCAGCUAUGCUUGGAGAAAGUCUACUUGAAGCAAUGUAAAUUAGUAUAUAAUAUAUAGUUUCAUUUAAAAUUAAUAUUUGAAAAUUUGAUGGAGAAACGCGAACUCAAUUGUAAUUUGCAUUGCAAAGCAUGGCUUACGUUGUCACUUUUCUUCUUG